rnacentral:lncRNA from 1 species
CGCCCUCGAAGUCAUGGCCACCGCUUCGAAUUUUCAUCUGCAAGCCAUGCUUCUUAGAGCAAAUAAUGGCAGCUUGUAUGUGAGACUCAUGGGUGGCGGUGAUGAUAAGGCGCGGUUUAGGGGUCGUAGAUGUAUUGAAUCGGAGGUUUCUAAUGUAUGACUCUAAAACAGAGGAAUAUGAAGAGUUAUCAGGAGUGUAUAGUGCUGCAGAGAUGGGAUGAGAAGACUGAGAAUGGGUAGAAAGGCAUUGGAGAAAGGCUCCAUGAACAGAAUCCGAAGCUGCCCAUGAAAGAGAUAGCAAAAGAAUGAUUGAAAGCAAUGAAAGCAUUGAAGAGCUUGAAGUUCCCAUUUCUGGUUUCCUCUUCUGUGUGCAAGAGAGUAUUGAGAUGGUACUACAAGAUCCUAGUUCGGAUUGGAAUUUAUAAUAAAAGAAGAGGUAAGAAGACAAUACAAGUCACCUCCCAAUUUGACCAUGGAAAUUCAAAGCAGGAAUUGGUGAGUGGAACUCAUUGUGGUGAAAGGAUCCUUUGUUUAUUUUACUUUUUCACGAUCCAUGAACUCAUUGUGGAGCUGUUGGCAAUGUCUUCAUCUCCUGUACGGCCAUUUGUAUGUUCAGCUUCUGUAACAUUCACAAUCAUAGAUCAAGUUGGUCUACCAAAAUUUAUUUUUUCCUCCAAAAGGAAAUUUAUAGAUAAUAAUAAAUAAUUAAAAAAAAAAAACAGAAGAACCAAAUAUGAUAAGCCUAGAUCUAGAUUGCCAAAUGAAUGACGCAAGAAGUCCAUAUGGAUUAGAUAGUUUCAUAUACAAAAAUCAUAUUGUUAUUUAAUUAUCAUACGAUUUUAUAUAGAAAAAGUUUUGUCACUAAUAAUUGUAAAAGCCCUGUCUUGAUUAAGAAUGACAAUAAUCGCACCUAUCUAACCAUUUCAACUUUUCCUUUCAAAUUAAAGCCUAACCUCUAUUACAAAAUAUAACCAACUUUGCUGUAAACCCAAAUCCCAAAAUCAUGAUUUGAUCAGAUUUAAGCCAAAAAUUUAUCUCAGUGAAGGAAGUCCGAUUAGAAUCGACAAGUAACUUCAUAAGUGCCAAAUUUUCCCAGCUGAUUAGGCUGAUAUAUAACAAACAAUAAAUAAUCCAACAAAAACAACUUUGACAAGUCAUCUCUUGAAUCAACUCAUUCCAUCAGUCAAUUACUGACCAAGAAUUUAUAUUUUUAUCAGCAUAUCCCACUCAUCAUUUGAAAUUUUAAUACUAAAAUGUAUGGUAGCUAUUGCCACAUCAAAUAUUUUAUGGAGUACAUAUAAAAGAAAUCAUAAUGUUAAUAUCGAAAGUGACUUCUUUUUUUAAAACCCCAAGUGUGAAAUUCCAAUCAAAAUAUUGGGCAAUGUCUGCAGGCCUGGCCUUUCUAGAGAGACCACACUCAUCAUUUUAAAUUUUAAUACUAAAAUGUAUGGUAGCUAUUGCCACGUCAAAUGUUUUAUGGUGUACGUAUAAGACAAAUCAUAAUGUUAAUAUCGAAAGUGACUUCUUUUUUUAAAACCCCAAUUGUGAAAUUCCAAUCAAAAUAUUGGGCAAUGUCUGCAGGCCUGACCUUUCUAUAGAGUUUGACCAUACUCAUCAUUUGAAAUUUUAAUACUAAAAUGUAUGGUAGCUAUUGCCAUGUCAAAUAUUUUAUGGCGUACGUAUAAGACAAAUCAUAAUGUUAAUAUCGAAAGUGACUUCUUUUUUUAAAACCCCAACUGUGAAAUUCCAAUCAAAAUAUUGGGCAAUGUCUACAAGCCUGACCUUUCUAUAGAGUUUGACCACACUCAUCAUUUGAAAUUUUAAUACUAAAAUGUAUGGUAGCUAUUGCCAUGUCAAAUAUUUUAUGGCAUAUGUAUAAGACAAAUCAUAAUGUUAAUAUCGAAAGUGACUUCUUUUUUUAAAACUCCAACUGUGAAAUUCCAAUCAAAAUAUUGGGCAAUGUCUGCAGGCCUGACUUUUCUAUAGAGUUUGACCACACUAAUCAUUUGAAAUUUUAAUACUAAAAUUUAUGGUAGCUAUUGCCACGUCAAAUAUGUUAUGGCGUACGUAUAAGACAAAUCAUAAUGUUAAUAUUGAAAGUGACUUCUUUUUUUAAAACCUCAAGCGUGAAAUUCCAAUCAAAAUAUUGGGCAAUGUCUGCAGGCCUAACCUUUCUAUAGAGUUUGAUUACACUCAUCAUUUGAAAUUUUAAUGCUGAAAUGUAUGGCAGCUAUUGCCAUGUCAAAUAUUUUAUGGCGUACAUAUAAGAGAAAUCAUAAUGUUAAUAUUGAAAGUGACUUCUUUUUUUAAAACCCCAAGUGUGAAAUUAUAAUCAAAAUAUAUAACACAUUAGCAAAAAUAUUAUCAUUUUUUUAUUCAUAUCCAAACACUAAUUAAUUAUUCACGAAAACAUUUUGAUAAAAAUGCUAUUAAUAAAAAUACUAUAAGCUAAAAACACUUUUUUCAUAAUCACUCUCAAUCAUACCCUUAGAGUGUGUUUGGUAGUGAUUCUAGGAAGUGUUUCUAGCAUCUUUAAUAUAUGAAAGAUAAAAAAUUUCAAGUGUUAGAAAGACUAAAAACACUUCCUACCAAACGCACUCUUAAUUUCCUUUUAUUAAUUUUUUUUUUGUGACAAAUACACAUAAAAUAUUACUCAUUAUGAAUUGAUACAAGACUUGUACACAAAAUCCUUUUACAUUCAUAUUGUAUCAAGAGCCCCUCUUUCUCCAAGCAUUCUUCCUUCAUUCUUAUAUUUUUCUGUUCUUGUUUUAGUAAUGAUUAAGGAAGUUUUAGGGAGCACUCAAAUCCUUCAUGUGAUACUAGGUUGUCUCUCUAUUUGAGUUAGUGGUUCCCUUUAUUUCCUCUACCAAGACAUCCAAUGAAGCUUGGGACCGGUUGGUUAAAUUUUAUGCUAAUCAUUCUCAUCUAAGUAGAAUUCAAUUGAAGGAUGAUGAACAUGCCUUAUUGACUUAUGGAACACACCAAACUUGUUUUAAAGGGUCUCCACACAAUCAAGAAUCAAUGUUCUUAGAAAUUUCAAAGAGAAUAAUGGUUGAAGUUAUGGGUCAGAUUAGGGACAUGAUUAGUAAUGAAAUUAGUGAAAAUUUUCAACUGAAAGAUUGCCUUAAUAAUGCAUCACUAUGGUGGGAUUUUCUUUAGAGUGAGUUACCUCUUUAUAGUAGCGAAGAAAGCUAGCAAUUAUGUAAGUUGAUGAUUUGUGUGGCUAAGAUUUAACUAACUCUUGUUAACCAUAUGUGGUUGUUGUCAACCUCUUGACCUAAUGACGGAGAAAAGGGCCUCAUAGGUAGGUCUUGUUGGGAGCCUAGACAGAGAGCAAGGAUGACCAAGAGGUUUGGUGGUUCAAACCCCAAGAGAUAAAAUGAGGAGACCAUGUGUGGUCCAAGCGCACACCACGGAUGAGCCAGACAAGCACCGCGUGCGCACCAGACACACAUCGCGCAUGCAUCAAGCAAGCGCCGCGCACGCACCAAGUAUAUGUUGGCUAUGGAGUUGGUGCAGAUGGAAGGUAAGGUUUAUUUUAGAAUAUAAUUUCUAAUUAUUUAAAUAUUCCAUUAUGUCUCCUCAAGCAUGUAUGAUGUCUCCUCAAAACAUCUUGAGAAUGAUUUGUAUUACUCUUUAAAAGGAGAGGGGUAGGUGACUCUAGGGGCAUCAAGGGAAGGCCUUGACCGCACCAAAGGGGCACCAUGGCAUGGCCUUGGGCAUACCUAGGACACACGAACGACACUCAAGCAUGCACACAUGGGCUCCACGACAUGUGUGGCGUGCACCCUGUAGGCGCAACAACACGGGGCAUGGCACGACCUACCUCCUACCCGCGCUGACACGAGAGAACCUGAGCCUUGUGCAGCGAGCCAGUUAGAAAAGUCAUGGGCACAACACCAUGGUUUGAUGGAGCAUUAGACGCACAAUUGACUCGGACCCAAGAUGACCAUGCAUGGCAUAAGGGCACAAUGCCCUAUGCACUAAGAAGGCACAGUCAUGGGCACAAUGCCAUGGCUCGUUGCUGUGGAGCCUUGAUCUGACAAAGGGAGCUAGACACAUGCCCAGGCCAUGGGCACCUUGACAUGGCAUGGGCUCACACAUUAGUGAAAGGAAAGCACAUUGAUGCAUUAGACACUUGGUCAGCUGGUUGGUCCAUGUUGCUGGUUCAGAGGGCCUUGAUCAAAGACACGUUGGUGGACACCUAUUCACAAAAGGCACCUUACGGGGAGGAGGCAGCUUGUUAGGGGAACUCAUCAAUAGCUUGACGAGAAAGGCUUGAGGGGAUGGAAGCUAGCUAGUGGCAGUUGGCUAAUGGCAACUAACUAGUGGCAGCAAGUGAUUAGGACAACAUUCAACUGCAAGGGAUAGGCAGGUGGUUAUGGUGCUAUGGCAGGUGCGAAGAAACACCUUAGACUGAAGAAGUGUCUUUAGCUGGGCAAUUAUGCAAGCAGUUCACCAGUUGGGUGGUUAUGCAAGCAGUUAUGGAUGUUGUGGUAGUUGCAUAACCACUAGGCAAGCUCCUUGGUUUUGAAUUUUGAAUUGUAACUACAGUGUGGAUUAUUUAAAAGGCCCCUGCAUCUCUGAGACAAAGCAUAGAGAAUGUCUUUAAAUACUUAAGGGUUCUAAGUGUUGUAUUCUGACUCAAGCCAAGUGUUGAGACACUUUGGAAAGACAAUUUUGUAUCUUGUAGAGUUGAAUAAUACAAGUUGGGAAGGGUGUUCCUGUAAUCGUGUGGUUGGUUGUUACAUUGUUUUUCUAAGGGUUGGACAGAAAGGUUGGCUAAGGAAGAGUCCUUAACACCGCACACUCAGUGAAAAAAAAAAUUGGGCAGAUUUCAAGGGUAUGACAAAUGGUAUCAAAGCGUGCACCAGAGAUGGUUGGUGGUAGUGUGAUGGAAGCCUUGCAGGAAAGGAUUGCUCGGAUGAAAGAAAUGCUGGGAGAAUGGCCACAUGAGGAUGACAUUGCGGCUUCAUGGGAAGAGCACACUGUGUAGGAAAUCCAAGUGUAGAGGAGUUUGUUGGAGACCCAUGACAAAUUCUUUGAGGAGAAAUUUACUAGCUUGAAAAUAGAGAUCCAGUCCCUGAUGGAUGAUUUCAAGGCCGUCUUGUAGUCUUAUGGAGAAGACAUUGUAGUCCUCAAGAAGGUUGUGUUGCAGGGAUGCUCUUCAGGCCCUAAAGCCCCUCCCAAAGUCCGGGUCCCAAAACCUAAGGGCUUCAUUGGUAACAGGAACACGAAGGAGUUGGAGAAUUUCUUAUGGGACAUGGAGUAGUUCUUCAGGGUUGCUCAUAUUCCUGAUGGCAAGAAGGUGUCCAUUACCAAUAUGUAUUUGACUGGUGAGGCCAAACUGUGGUAGUGAACAAUUCCUCCCCACCAACACUGCUUAGGUGGCCAAGGAAUCAUUGAAAAUGCUCAGACACACCGGAUCAGUGAGGGAAUAUGUCAAGGAAUUCAGUUCCUUAAUGUUGGAUAUAAAGAACAUGUCAAAGGAGGACAAGCUUUUCAAUUUUCAUGUUCGGAUUGCCAGGAUGGGCUCAAACAAAACUUCAAAGGCAAGGGGUUCGUGAUCUCCCUACUGCCAUGGCUGCAACGGAUUGCUUGGUGGAUUAUAAGAUGGGUGGCGCCAUCUCCAUCAUGCAAAAACCAAAGCCAAAAGGAGACAGAAAGACUAAGACUGAGGACAAGACUUCUAAGAAGUCAGGGUGGAAGAAGUAGAACAAGAAAAAUGUUCUAGGGGUAAAACCAGUGGAGAAGACCACAAAAUUUGUGCAACAGUCCACUCGAAUGGCAAGAUGCUUCAAUUGCAAUGGUCCUCACCGAGCCAAGGAUUGCCCAAAAGAGAUAAACUCUUGGCCCUUGUGACUACAGAAGACAAGGGAGAAUCUGACUUAGAGACCCCUCCUAGAGUCAAUCCAUUGCAACUUCUAAAUGUCCUCCAUGGUGAGACUCCUAUCUAAAAGUCCUUAAUGCAUGUGUAUGCAAUUAUGUAUGGUGUGCAAGUUAAGGCCAUGGUGGAUAGUCUUGCCACACACAAUUUCGCGGCCACUCGAGAGGCAACCAGGUUAGGAUUAAAGUUGGAAAAGGAUACCAAUCAGAUCAAAGUAGUCAAUAGCAAAGCCUAAAAGAUCCAAGGGAUAGCCAAGAAUGUCCUCAUGCAAGUUGGUGACUGGAAAGGCACGUGCAGCCUACUUUGUGUGCCCUUAGAUGACUUUGAUUUGAUAUUUGGUGUAGACUUUCUUUUAAAGGCUAAGGUGGCCUUGAUCCCACAUCUUGGUGGAUUGGUGGUGCUAGAAGAAAGAUAGCCUUGUUUUGUGUAGGCCUUGAGGGAAAAUGAUGAUGGUAAGGGUCAGCCUGAGAUGUUGUCCGCUAUCCAAUUAAAGAAAGGAUUGAAACAAUGUUAUGAUACAUAUGUCGCAGCUUUGAUCAAGAUCAAGAAUGGGCAGUCUGUGGAAGUCCCUGAUUCAGUGGCCAAAAUUUUGAAGGAGUUCAAAGAUGUGAUGCUUGCAGAACUCCCCAAGGAAUUGCCAUCCCGAUGACCUAUUGACCACAGGAUUGAAUUGUUGUUUGGAACAAAGCCCCCGACUCAAGCCUCUUACAGGAUGUCUCCUGCAGAAUUGUUGGAGCUACGAAAACAAUUGAGGGAAUUGUUGGAUGCAGGUCUGAUCCAGCCCUUGAGAGCUCCAUAUGGUGCACCAGUGUUGUUCCAAAAGAAGCAUGAUGACUCUCUAUGCAUGUGUGUGGAUUAUAGGGUUCUCAACAAGGUGACCAUAAAAAACAAAUACCCGAUCCCCUUGGCAGGCGAGCUGUUUGAUAGAUUGUCAAAAGCCUCCUACUUCACCAAGUUGGACCUGAGAUCAGGCUAUUGGCAAGUGCGGAUUGAGACAGGAGAUGAGGGGAAGACCACUUGUGUAACUCGGUAUGGUUCAUACGAGUUUCUGGUAUUGCCCUUUGGGAUGACUAAUGCCCCUACUAAUUUUUGCACCAUGCGAUCACCAAGCAUAUGUUGGCUAUGGAGUUGGUGCAGAUGGAAGGUGAGGUUUAUUUUGGAAUAUAAUUUCUAAUUAUUUAAAUAUUUCAGUAUGUCUCCUCAAGCAUGUAUGAUGUCUUCUUCAGACAUCUUGACAAUGGCUCGUAUUGCUCUUUAAGGGGGGAUAGGUGACUCAAAGAGGCACAAAGGGAAGGCCUUAACCACACCAAGGGGGCACCAUGGCAUGGCCUUGGGCGUACCUAGGACACACAAACAACACUCAAGCACGCACACAUGGGCUCCAUGACAUGUAUGGCGUGCACCUUGUAGGCGUAACAACACGAAGCCUGGUACAUCCUACUUCCUCCCCACGUUGGCACGAGAGUGCCUAAGCCUUGUGCAGCGAGCUAAUUGGAGAAGCCAUGGGCGCAACGCCAUGGUUUGAUAGAGCACUAGACGCACAGCUGACUCGGACCCAAGAUGACAAUGCAUGGCACAAUGGCGCAAUGCCCUGUGCACUAGGAUGGCCCGACCAUAGGCGCAAUGCCAUGGCUUGUUGUUGUGGAGCCUUGAUUUGAUAGAGGGAGCUAGACACCUGCCUAGGCCAUGGGCACCUUGACAUGGCAUGGGCUCACACAUCAGCAUAGGGAAGGCACACUGAUGCACCAAACACUUGGUUAGCUAGUUGGUGCAUGAUGCUGGUUUAGAGGGCCUUGAUCAAAGACACGUUGAUGGGCACCCUUUCACAAGAGGCACCUUAUGGGGAGAAGGCAACUUGUUAGGGGGACUCUUCAACAACUUAAUGGGAAAGGCUUGAGGGGAUGGCAGCUAGCUAGUGGCAGCUGGCUAGUGGCAGUAAGUGAUCAAGACAACAUUCAACUACAAAGGACUGGCAGGUGGUUGUGGUGUUGAUGGCUGGUGCAAAAAGACACCUUGAACUGAAGGAAUGUCUUCAAUUGGGCGGUUAUGCAAGUAGUUAUGGCAGUUGUGGCAGUUGCAUAACCACCAAGCAAGCUCCUUGGUCUUGAAUUUUGAAUUGUAACUGCAGGGUGAGUCAUUUAAAAGGCCCCUACAUCUCUGAGAUAGAGCAUAGAAAAUUUCAUUGAAUGCUUAAGGGUUCUAAGCAUUGUACUCUGACUCAGGCCAAGUGUUGAGACACUUUGGAAAGACAAUUUUAUAUCUUGUAGAGUUGAAUAAUAUAAGUUGGGAAGGGUGUUCCCGUAAUCGUGUAGUUGCUUGUUACAUUGUUCUUCUAAGAGUUAGACAGAAAGGUUGGCUAAGGAAGAGUCCUUAGCAUCGCACACUCAGUGAAAAAAAUUGGGCAGAUUUCAGGGGUGUGACAGCUGCCAUAGUGGCUAUUUGUGCGUAUAACUUAACUUAAAAGGUAGAGCUGCAACUUAACUAGGUUGGUCAAGUUGAUGACUAACCUAAGUCUAACUCAAAUUAAGAAUCAAUCAAUCCGAACCCAACCCAACUCAAAGUACUCAAUCAAGUCCAACUCAACCUCAUUUUUCUAAACUUGAAUUGAAUUUGGGUUGUUUAAGUUAGAUUUGGGUUCAUCAGGCUAGACUCGAAUUGAUUGAGGUUGCUAAUUUGACCCUCAAAUCUAAACUCAUUUUUCAUAAACUUUGUUUUCCUUCAAAAAAAAAAAAAAGUAAUUUAGGGUUUUAUUUAUUAUUUUUUUUCCUUUAAAAUAAACAAAAAUAAAUGGUCACUCCAAUUUAUUCAAAAAAUCAGUUUUUCACAAAUAAAAACUAAGUCUCAUCAUCAAGUAGGAAUAUAAGUGAAAAUUUUGGAUCGAUAAUACUCCAAAAAAUUAUAAAAUAAAUAAUAAUACAUAUAUUAAAAUCAUUUUGAUAAAGAAAUUGAUAUAUGUAUGAUAUGAUGUGUAAUAUUCAAUAAUAAUAUUUGGUGAAAUAUGAAAUUUUGAAAUAUACACUCAAUAUUAAAAUAACAUUAAGUAAUUAAUUUUACUAAAUGUCAUGUCAAUAAUAUAUUUAUAUAUAUAACCAAUGUUGCUUCAUGAUACUGUUGGAUGAAGAAAUCUCAUCUUGAUGGAAACAAUAUUUGUAUCAAGACAUGAUAAAAGAUGCAACAAUACACAUAUUAAAGUUAUUUUAUUGAAGAAAUCAAUAUAAGAAUAAUAUAAUUUGUAGCAUUUGAUAAUAACACAAUGAAUUUAAAAAUACAUUUAAUAUUAAAAUAAUAAUUUAUCAAAUUUGAAAAUAUAUUUAAUAAUAAAAUGAUAAUUUAUCUACUUUAUAAUCUAUAUCUACAUUUAAUAUAUAUAUAUAUAUAUAUAUAUAUAUAUUUCUAUUUAAAAAUAUUUAUAAUUUACUUAUAAAUUUAUAUAUAUUUAGGAAACUUAGGUUUUAGGCUAUCAAUAUCAAAAUAAUAGCAUAUUUAAAACCUAGGUUUACCAAUUUCAAGUUUACAAUGCUAACCCCAAAAAUAUUUUGUGUUUCAUGCACUUUGGGCCAAGUUGCUUUUUAAUGCCCAACAUGUCUUCCUCCUGCUACCAGGUCAGCCUCCAUAGGUUUAAAAUAAAAAACAAAAGACCAAAAAUAAAAAAUAACUUAAUAGCAUCACCUUUCUUCUUUGUUUAUUUCUCUAUGUAAACCUUUUGUUCACUCUUCCCUUUAUACAUAUCUAACUAGUAUAAACCCAAACGGAAAACCCAAUCAUUUUCUUCAUUUUUCCUUUUGGUGUGUGGUCUACAACCGAGAUGCAAAAACUUGGUGCGUGCGUGGUCUGGCAAAAGUUGUGUGCCCUUGGGUGCCUCUGUCGCACCACCAUUACCACACACCACCAUCUUCUCACGUCCCGUCCUUGUCACCUCUCUCACUCGACUUCCUCUAUCUUUGUGUCUCUCUCAUUCUCAUCCUAGGUACUCUCUCUCACUCUCUAUUUCUAUAUGUAUAUGAUCUGAACAACAGUGAUCUAGGGCUUCAAUCUAUAAUUUUUCUUUUAAAUUUUUUAUUAUUUGAUAAUUAUUAUGUAAUUCAUUACAAUUCUAGGCUUUUCUUAUUGAUUCUUGCUUUCUUUUUUUUUCUUUUUCUUUUUUUCCAUGCCAACAUGCUUCAACUUAAUUGGGCUUAUCUGGAAUUUUUAGCUUUCAUGUGUUCGAUUUCUGAUAAAUUUGUGGAAAUUGAAAGGAAAUAUAAAGUUUUGACAUUUUCAUGGAUUGAGUUGGAUGAAGUGAAUGACUAAGUUUAUCUCUGCUAAAUAGUUGUUCAUACAUCACUAAACUAAUAUUUUUUAUCAAAAUCAUUGAGCUAAUUGUUAUUGUGUCAAUUAAAUGAGUGAUUAAGCUAUUUUCCUGUAAAUGUUAGGCUUGUAGGAAAAUUUUACAAAAAAAAAAAUGUGCCUUUUUUAUUUUAUUUUUUCUUAUUUGUCUUAUGUGAUUUUUUGUCUUGUAGGAGGAAAUUUUAGAGAAGUGAUUUUCUCCAAGCGAAUGAGAAUUGUGGGAAAAUACACUUUUCGCUUAUCUAAUCGAUCAAAUAUAACUUAAGCUUUUAAAUUUCAUUUUCUUUUAGGAGAAUUGUGUUUUGGGCCCAAAAAUUAACAUUUGGUCCAUACAACUUCCAUAAUUGAUGGAAAGGAUAUAAGAUGUUAAAAGACCAAUAUAUCCUUCAAAUUUCUAUAUAUUACCUUUUAAGAAUAUAAAAUAGUGAUGGACUAAAAUACCCAAUGACCUUUCACAUAAGUUUUUUUUGUCUUUAUUGCACCACUAUUCAUGCAACCAUAAUAAUUCUAUUUUAACAAUUUGGAUUUUUCAUUGUUUUUAAAAUUUUUUAUAUAUAUAAAUAAUUGAAAAUCAGCAUUAUUUUCUAUUUUAAAUUAUAAAUAAAGAAAAAUUAUGUUCAAAAACUAUUUUAAAAAAUACUUUCUAAAAAAAUGGUAAUAUUAUUUAUAUUUUUUAUAUUUUCUUUUUGAAAAAACAUUUAAUUAAAAAAUGAAAACUAUUUUUAAAAAUAAAAAUUGAAAACCUUGUUUAGUACUAUUUUUUAUAUGAAAAUAAUAAAAAGAAUUAAAUUUCAUUCAUUGAUUAUCCAUUUUUAUUUUUUUCCAUUAGUUAUUUUAAUAAUAAAAUAAAAAAAUAUAGUAUGUUUACAAUUAAACAAAGAAAUUGAUCAAUUAUGUGUUUUUUGUGGGACUAUCUUUUACAUGAAAAAUAAUUAAAUAACUAAAUUAUAUAUAUUUAUUACUCUUUUUAAUUUUGUUUUCUUUAUUUAUUUUUUGUCUAAUAGAAAAUUUUAAUAUGUCCAUAAUUAACAAAGAAAUAAAUCAAUUGUGCACAUUUUAAUCUAUUAAAAUAAAUUACUUUCUAAUUUAAAUAAAUAAAAUGAAAUAAGUAAAUAAAUUUGGGGUUAUUUAUAUUUUUUAACAUAUCUUAUAUCAAUAUUUUUUAUGGUUAAAUAAUUUUUUUAUUUAUUUUUCUUUAAUUCCAAAAAUAAAAUGAAAUAAAUAAAUAAAUUUGGUAUUUUCUAAAUGAUCUUCUAUUCAUAUUUCUUAUGGUUAAAUAAAUUUUUUAUUCUUUUUUCUUUAUUUUCAAAAAUAAAAGGAAAUAAAUAAAUAAAUUUGGCUUAAAUAAUAGUUUUUAAGUAAUUUCUUUGUCUUAUUUUUAAUUACAUUUUGCAUUGAAAAUAAAAUAAAAUAAAAUAACAUUUUAUGUUUUAAUUAUUUUAAAUGUCAAACUAUUGGGAACAUAGUUUACACACUCAUGUGUAUAUAAUUUAUACAUAUAUAUGAAAUUUAUACCAUUAUACAAUGUUAUUAGACUAAUUGUAUAAGGGGUGUACAAAACUGUACAUUUUGAACAAUUUUUUUUUUCUUGUCAUCUAAGGAUUAUAUGUUCUCCUACCACAAAUUCUUUUAUUUCAUGUACUUUAGUUAACUCGUAUAUAACUAUUCAAAUACUUACCUUAAUAAUGAUGUUUAGAGAAAAAUUUUGUUUUUAAGUUUUAUAUCAUUUUUUAAAUCAAACCAUUGGAAACAUGGUUCACACAUCAUAUGUGGUACAUAAUGUAUGCAUAUGGAUGAAAUUUGCAUCAUUGUACAAGGGUGUUAUACUAACUGUACAAGGUAAAUGUUCAAUUGGACAAGGCAAAUGUUCUAACUGUACAAGACAAAUAUUCUAACUAUACAAGGGGUAUACAAAGCUAUACUUUGUGAAAGAUUUUAAUCAAUUUUGGACAACUUUUUUUUUUUUGUCUUGUCAUUUAAGGAUUGCACACUCUUAAGGAACACAUUCCUCUAUUACACACUCAUCUUAUGCACUUUAUUUAACUCGCACAUGAUAAUUCGAAUACCUAUCCCACUAAUGAUGUUUGAGAGAAAAUUUUGUUUUUCCAUCUUCCACUAUUUUUUGAAACAAACCAAUGAAAACAUGGUUAACCUACUUAUGGUUACACAUUGAGUAGGGAGUAUAUGGAAUUUGAGUCACUGUACAAGGUAUUCACACUAAGUGUACAUGACAAAUAUACUAACUGUACAAGGGUACAAGAAUAUUAUUUGUGAAGGAUUUUAAGUGAUUUUGAAAAACUUGUUUAUUUAUUUCCCCUAACCAAUGAUAAAUGACAUUCCUUACACACAUUGGUUAAGCAUACAUUCAUCUCUUACACUUUAUCUAACUUGUAUAUGGUCAUUUGAAUAGGUACCUCACUUAUGAUGAUUGUAAAACAAAAUUAUACAACAAUUUUUCUUCUUUUUUAAAACCAAACCAAUGCAAACAUGGUUAACCGACCUAUUGUCAGAUAUUCAUGAGAUGAUGUAUGAAAUUUGAGUUAUUAUACAAGGGUAUUACACUAGCUAUACAAGACAAAUUUACUAAUUGUAUAAGGGUGUACAAUACUACUUUUUGUUAAGGAUUUCAAGUGAUUUUGAAAAACUUUCCCAUUUUUUUCCAUUCAAAGAUUUUUUUUCCCCCACUCAAAUUCUCUCACUCAAGAAUUGUUUCAAAUUUUAUUUUUAAAUUUCAUCAUCAAAAUUUUGUAAUUGCAUAUUUUGUUUUUGUAGUUUUAGCAAUGUUCUUUCUUUCCACUAUUUUUUUUUUUUUUUUUUGUGAAAUUUUAUCCAAAUGAAUCUAUAUUUAAAAUUAUAAUCAUAUUUAUCAAAUUUUUUACUAAGAUUAUCUUUAAUUCUUUUAAUAUAUUUAUACUCAUUUAUUUUAAAAAUGAAAAACUAAUUUUUUUUUUUUUUGUAAACAUGUUCUAUUACCUUUCAAGUAAAAAAUUAGAUAAGUUUGAAAGUCAAUAAAAAAAUUAAAUACCACUUUUAAUAAUUUUUAGAUAAAAUUUUAUAUAAUAUAUUUUAUUUAAAAUUUAAUUUCUAAAGUUUAACUAAAAAAUUGUAUUGACAAUUUUCUUGUUGUGAGUCAAAAUACUUUGCAUUAGUCUAUCUAGAUAAGAAAAAUUAUUAAUAUAAUAUUAGAACUUCAUAUCUUAGUUAUUUUUUUCAAUAAAUUUAUAUUUUUAAAAAUUUUAAAAUAAAAACAUUAAAAAUUUAAAAGCUAAAAGGAUAUAUAUAUAUAUAUAUAUAUAUAUAUAAUAAAGUGAAGUGAUAGUCAAUUUUUAAAAUUUUUAAAAUACGGCUAAUGUAGAAAAUAUAAAAAAUAAGAGAAAAAUAUAAAUGAAAGGGUAAUAUAAAUUUAAAAUAAAAAAUGAAAAUUAAACUAAAAGAUAAAAAAAAAAAUUGGAUGAAAAAUCCCAAAAUUUUUAUCAUUGAUUAUAAUAAGAGCAAAAAGAUUUAAUAUCUUUAAAAAUGAAAAACAAAAAAACAUUAUUACUUUUUAUUUGACAUAAAAUAGAAAUAUAGAUUGGAAGAAAAAGAAAAAAAAAAGUUAGAAAUGAGUAAUACUUAAUAGGGAAUAGAAAAGAGAAAAAAAAACAUAAAAAAAUUGAAAUUCACACUCACUUGUCCCUAUGUAAGGGUUAAGGGUAUUUUAGAGAUUAAUGAAAGACAAUAUCCUUUAUCUUAAUUUUCGUACUUUGUUUGGGUCUUGGGCUUAAAUAUGCAUGAUAUAUGGAUCAAAUGUUAAUUUUUGGGCCCAGUUAGGCCCAAAACACGAUUCUCUCUUUUUUUUUUCUAUUCUUUUCCUUGGGUAUCUUAGCAAAUAAAUAGAGAAUUAGGAAAAUUCUUUUGAUAGACUUGUUUUUCCCAUGAGUUAGGUGAGGUUUGAUGCACUUCCGAUUUUUCAUUUUUAAAAAUAUAGAAUAAUAGCAACUUUAUAUAAAAUUAAUUUAGGAAUUCUAAUACAAAAAUAAAAAAUAAAAAUAAAAAUAUUUUAUUUUAUAUUUUAGGUUCCUUAAACUCAUAUUUUAUCUUAAUGCUUCUUAAUCUAAAUUAUUGUUCCUGGAUUUUAAAUAAGAAAGGUAUACAAGAUGAUUUUUAUUUUUAUUUUAUGGAAUUAAGAUUUGAAAUAAAUCAAUGUUGCAGUUACCAAAAAAUUGAGCAUUACAUGUCUAAUUGUGUUCCUUUUUUGUGCAUGCAUGCCCUUGACAGAGAAAUUCCUUUCACUCAUUCCUUUCAAGUUAGUAAAUAGAUUGUCAUUGUUUAAGCAAGAAGAAACAUAUGGAGUUGCCUUCUCUAGUCAUUGGGCUUUUUUUCUAUUGUAGAUUGAGUUCCUUUUGCCAUAUUCUUCUUCCUAAUAAUGGUAAUGAAGUUUAUAAGUUGUAGAAAAUAAGUAGAGAUAUUUAGUGACCUUCUUGACUAGCGUGUCUUGCUAGGUCGUUAUGGUUGCAUUUUUUUUAAUGCACAUUAUGUUCUUAAAACUGAAAACAAAAGGAAAAUAUUAUGGUACAGUUAAGUUUUUGGAAACCAAAAAUCUUAAAGGCUAGUAAAAUAAAACAGAAAUCACAAAAUAAAAACAAAGAACAUCAUCAACUAAGCCCUUACUUUUUAUGGACUCUAUUUUAAAGCCUGAUAUGUAGCCUUGGGAAUUUAUAGCUCAUUGGGCCAUUUCUGUGAUUUUAGAGCUUCACAUUUCAACAUAAUUUUAUUUUUUCUGUUAAUAUAUGAAACAGUUCUAUUGAGUGAAGAAUGUGGCUUUAGUAAUUCCAUAGAAAUUAUAAUAUUACUUUAUACACUUGUCUGGAAACUAAUAUUGGCAGCUUUGUACCAUAAAGGAAGCUUACAAACGAAGUUUUCAGGUUAACCCUAGAAUUUCGUUCAUUUUUUUAUUUUAUUUUUUGGGAUUUCAGUAUUAUGUUUUCUUUUAUUAGGAAUUAUUGAGUACUACUUUAAAGUGAUGAGUUGUAACAUCUUAACAUUACUUUGAAUUCCCACUUGUAAACUUGUCAAAAAGUAUCUCACAAAGAAAUCUUUAGGCAGACAUUGGACAUGGCCUAGAAGGGACUCAAAUUGCUUAAGGGACUCUUGGCUUCAGCUUAAUCAGUUGUCCUAAAGCAUCAUCAUAUUUACUUGGAUCAAACUGAUUGAUAACAUCUUCAAUGAAUGACUCCCACCCAAUAUCUGACUUGGUGACUUCAUAACCUUGAUCCAUUCAAGGGCCCUUCCUUCUAAAUGAAUGGAAGCAAUAUAAACCCUGUCCACACCAUUUGUGUUACUCAAAAGAGAAAAAAUUAUUGCAUCUAUGAUUCUCUACAGGUUCUUUUCAAGAACACAAUUUUCCUUCUUGUAAUUUUUAUCCCCCUUUCCUUGGGACAAGUUUUCUCUCUGCAUCUAUUAUGUCUCUUCUCCUCUACUACAAUUUCUACUUUGUCAUCAGUCAUUCCACCAACUCAAACUCAUGCCUCAGCGAAUAAUACAACGAAUAAUGCAUUAGGCGCUGAUACAAAUUCAUCAUUGGAAAGUCGUAGAUAUGACAUGCAAAACUAGGUAACAGUGGUGGUUGUGGAGAUGUUGAAAGAAGACUCAACUGGACUGGUAGAUGUCUCAAAUAUUAUUAGCAAAACACUUUCAAUAAACCUAUUUAAAGGAGAAAUUAUCAUAACAUCUCACUUGUCUAAUGAGAUGACUCUUGCCAUAGGUUACAUGUUUAUACUAUUGUUCUUUUUGAAAGCUUAAUAAAAGUUACAGUGAAGCCAUCAAAAUGGGUUGAUUCUUUGCCUUACUUUCUUCAAUGGGAUGUGUCAUCUUCACUUUAAAAUCUCAUUGAAUGGGAUGUUACUCUUUAGCCCGCCCAAUUGACCUCAAGGACUCGAGACCAUCUGGGCACCAUAAGUAGCACAUUUGAACUUCUUUGCCUAAUAAAAAUUCAAAUGAUUUCAUAUUCCAAAUAACCCACCAAGACUGAAUUUGAGCUUUCUAGACGAUAUGGUAAUAAUGGAAGAGCCCUCACUAGUCAUGUUCAUGGUACAUGUGGUAGAAACUAGCAAUGCAUUUCUGUAACAUGUUUUGCUAAUAAUGGCAUAUUUCAAUGAAUCUAGAGAAAACCAUUCUCCAUAAAAUUGCUUCAUUUUCAUUCUUUGAAUUGCAAAAUCAAGGAUACAAACAUGGUUUCAAACUUGUUGCCCAUUUUCUAGCCUUUUUAAGGUUGCAAUAAUAGGGGUACAUGCAUUGAAGUGGAAAGAUAUUAUAGCUUAUAAUUGUAUCCCAUUGAAGUGAAAAAAAUAUCAUAGUUGGAGAGCAUGAUGCAAGGCAUGUCCCAUUUUCCUUUUCUGUACCCCACCCCCCUCCAAUCUCUUCUUCCCCAUAUCUAAUAUGUUCUUCCAUCCUUCCAAGCUGUAUGAAUCCAGCCAUCAGCUAUGAGCUGAUUUCAUCAACUGUCAUCUGUCCAUCUAUAGUCAUUUCAACAUGCUCAGCAUCUUUAAAUCGCUUUGCAGCAACAAAAAUGGUCAAUGUAAUGCUCAGUAGUAUGUUGUGAACAUCAUAGCUACUCACAUCAAAGUUAGUCACCGCAUUCAAGCCUCGGAUGGUAAUGACAUCAAUGUCAUAGGCGUUUACUGCUUCACCUUGGGUGCCUGCAAAAAGAUGGAAAAAGAGUAUCUUAAAGCAAAGCAGAGAUACAAGGAAGCAUUGAAAAUGAAACCAAAUUUCUAUCAAGGUCUUGUAGCUCUAUGGCAGCAAAAGUUUGAGCAAGGAAAAUUUUCUUAGUAUUAUGCAAUUGAUAGCGAUGUUGAUUUGGCAAUGUGGUCUUCUAAAGAGGUUCUACAGGUUUAUAACAAAGUUGAUGACAAUAUGUAAUUAUAAUAUAUUAACAAUAAGGAUGAAACUGGACGGUGUUCGGAGCAUUGAGGUUAAGGCUAUCUUGCAGUUUAGGAAGAUGACAUCUUUUGUAAAAGCAAGGCGAAUAGGUUUAAUUGAGAAGUGCUUGAAUAACAAGAGAAAUAAAGAAGUAGAGAAGAAAAUAUAAGAUAAGAGGGAAGACUAUUGAGGGAAAACUUCAAUUUUCAGCUGCCCAAGACAAACAACUUAUAAAAAAUAAAACUUAUAAAAAAAUAAUAAUAAAACAACUCAUAAAAAACAAACUUAAGGUGCUUGUGGGUUGAUUGUAGGCGGGGGGGUGUGAGGGUGGAGUUUGGUAGGUGUGGUCUUCUGGAUGUGUACAAUUGGACCUUAAUUAUGGACUUUAGAGAAUUUGUGUAGCCAGUGAAAGGCUUCUAAAACAAGACUAACCUAGUACUAACACGGUGCAAAUUUCUCCCCCUUCACCUCCCUCACCCUCUCCCCCCCUCUCACCCUCCUUAAAAAUGAACUUUUCUAGAAAAUCAAAACAGACUGCCAUAAAUCGAAAGAAGAGACUUUUAAUCAAAAGUCAAUGUAGAGACUCAAACUAUAGAAAUUCAAACAAACCUUAAGAUUGUUUUUGAUAGCCAAAUUAAAGGAGAAUGAGACAACACACCCGACGAAAUUUAAAACCUUAAUAUUUCAAUGCUACAUUAACUUCAACAAAAUUACUAUAGGAAUUGAAAUAUAAUCUACUCUGAUAACAACUUACUAGAAACUAUUGACAUCAACUCCCUAAUUCAUUACUAGUUAACAUAAGCAAUCCCAUAUGUAUGGGAAAAUAAAGAGGAUAUAUGUUAGAUAAAGUGUCUAACAAGAAGGGUAUGAUCUAAGUCACAGAAAGCACACAAGUUCCAUCAAAGCUAAAAUAAAAGAAAACCAUAUGCUAGGCAAAAUAAAUGAAACCAACCCUGAAGCAAAUAAUUGUAAAAGAAGAAAACUCACAUCUCUUAAACAUUUGACCCAUUAGAGCAAAGAUUUAAGGAAAUGAUUUUUUAAAUGUAUUUUCGCCAUAAGUUAAACAAUUACUUUAUUGUUGCAAAGCUUAUUCAAUUUCAUUCUUUCUAGACAAUCUAGGGUAAUAAAACUGCGUUUUCAUCCCCUAAGGUGCACUAAGGUAGUAGCUAUCUUAAAUUCAAGUAGUACGUAAGCUUCACUAACAUAGUACAUAAGGCGCAUUAAGGUACUUUACAAAUGCUAUGAUCACAAAACUAAAAUUUAAAAUAUAAAAAGCUUCCACUUACAAAAUAACAAGGGACAUCAACACCCAUUCGUUAAUAUAGUUUUGGAUGCAUAAGCUUGUGAAUAAUUGUGCUUGCAUGAGCUUAAUCUACACAACUACUAGCAUUGAUUUUCUUGACAGCCAAUCAGUCAUUGUAAGGCAUGUGGCAGAUUUUUUUUCCCUGCUAUCAACUGGCUCAUAAGUAUUUAGUAUCAGUUCAUGGAGGAGGUAUAGUUGAGAGUCUGUUAUCAGAUAAUCUAGAACCUUUUGAAAUUUGGGAUGAGGGUCGCUAGUUUUUAUUCUGCUUCCAGGCAUCAAAUGAUUUAUUAAAAAAAUUCCCUUUUUUGACUUUUAUCCAGAUAUAUUAAACUAAUCUUUCAGUCACAGAAUGGAUGAUUGAUAAAGGCAGUGAACAAGAAAAUGGAACUAACCCUUUCUCAGGUUCAGUUACUGAGUAGGCUUCAACAUCAAGAAUAAAUGAUUUUCAAUUACUAGGUAGGUUUCAAUGUUAAGAAUAAAAUAUUUCCAGGUCCCUUUAUGGCUUAAGAUAUGCAGUUCAAUACCUUCAGGUAAUAUUUAGCCACCAUCUUCCAUGAAAAAUUCACACAUAAAACAUAAGAAUCAAAAUGCAAUUUUGCAAUUGAAAAGGAAAAUUAUACCCUCUUAUCAAACGGAUCCUAAGAAGAUUCAAACUACUAACCCCUCAACUACAAAUAGACCAUAACACUAAAUUGAACUUAAGAUUUAACAAAACUGUCUGUUAGACCUAAGUUCAGAGCAUCCUUCCCUGAUGUAUCCAACUUUACAUUUGACUAUUCUUCUCAAACCACUCAAUACUUCAAGGUACACUUAAAUAUAUUCUUCAGAAGUAAUAACAAAGCCAAAGGAAGGUUAAAAAUAAAAUUUAAAAAGCAAUCAAGACAUAAAUGAAAUAUUGUACUUACAUUGUAUAAUCCAUUCAGACCCCUCCAUCCAGUUGAAACACCAAGCUCAAAACCAAGAGUGUGAUGAUAAUAUGCAUCAAUCUCAUUAAAGUAAUGGCUAAAGUUGAACAAUCCUUGAAUAGGAUAUACCUCAGCAUUCUCAAUUACUUUUUUCAGAACAUCAGGUCCUAAAUACAUAAGCACCUGAGAACAUAAUUUAACAAAUAAUCAGUGUUUCAACUUUUAUCUUUGCAAGAGAGAACUACACCAAAAUAAAUGCAAUGCUUCCCAGAACAACUAUUUUUUGCUAGAACCUGGCAAUUGAAUGUUUAUCACAAGCAUGAAUGCCAGCUAAAGUGCACACCAUGCAUCACAGACAGCAUGAUGCAUAGACAACAGUUACUGUGUCACAUUUAUUAUAUAUCCACUCAAUUAAUGUCAUUUUUACUCUCUAUCCUUUCUUAGAAUAAACAUAAAGCAGCUAAUGGGUAUCAGAUGAAGUGGGGAAAUUAUCAAAAGACAAUACAUAUGAUGGAAGGACAACUUGACACACUAGGGGAAACACAAGAAAAGUCCACCAACUUCAUAUUGAUACAUAUGCUACAAAAUGCAGCAAGACGUUCUCAGUAUUUGAUGGAGAAACUUUGAUGAUUUUCACCACAUGAUGAACUCAAUCAAAUUAUUAGUAACAAACAUGUAGUAUUUCAAAGGGAAACCUCUAGAAAUAAAAUUAUUAUUAAAUAAUGUAGUCAAAACACCCUAAAAUUUUAACAUUAAACUAAAUAUUAUAUUAUUAUGUGUUCAGACAUUUAUAUCAAACCUCAUUCGCAUCUUUGAAAUGUUCAACUUCAUUUUUCUUAGGCCAUUUUACUUGCCAACAUCUGCCAUCUCACAAAAAAUGAGUUAUCAGAAAUUUUUCAACGAAAUAAACAAUAUCAGCACACAAUCAUGUAAACCUUUCUCUUCCAAGGCGGCGAGCAAGUUCUUCAGCUAAGGCAAGACCAGGUGCAUCCCCAUCAGUUGCAAGUAUAAUGCGAGAUGCCUAUAAUAUUAAAAAAAAUAAAAGACCUAUCAUUUCUGCAUUAAUUCAUUGUAACUGAAAACCAUAAACCUCCUUUUACCAACCUUCUCCAGGUACUCCUUGCAGUUCCAUAGAUACUGAUAUUUUAUGUCCUAGCUUUACAAAAAAUAUGGAAGGGGCAUCAGAUCCAAAUUCUCUAUACAAAAGGUAUAUAAAAAGCAUUAAUGCCCUUUGCAUUUAUGAGGGAACACAAGGGGCAAAGACUGACAUCUGAAUAGAGCAAUGCCUACUAAGAGACACAAGCAUUAUAAUUAUAAGACUAAGAGCCUGGACAAACAGAAAAUAUUAGCCAAAAAAAAUAAUGAAAGCAUGAUAGAGGAUGCCUAGAAUUAGUAUCAUUGUGCAAUCUGUAGAUAUAUUCAUUCAAAGAGAAGUGAAUCCCAAAAUGUGUAGUUAUACUGUACAGUUUAUAUUGCAGUGCUUGAUAACAACCCCAAGACUAGAGUUGAAAUCAUUUUUUUUUUUAAUGGGUAAAAAGCAAUAUAAUAAAAGCAAGGCACUCCAAAGAAGUGUCCCAAAGUACAUAGGAAGUAUACAAAGGGCACCUAAAAAGCACCUCAAAAAAGAGCAAGGGACUCAAGUUGAAAUCAAUUGACGACAACCAAGUAGCUAAGAGAACAUGGAUAUUCUUUUUUCUCUUUUUCAACAUUUUGUAUAAGGGAAAAAUACUGUAAAAAGGCUAGAGAUAUCAAAGAAGGAUGGGGUAUCUUUCCCACAUAAGUUGAAGUUAGAGAAAGAAAAAGAAGAAAGAACCAGGAAAUUAACAUUUAACACUAAAUGUAACAACUAGAGAUCCAAACCAAACACCCCACCCUGCUGAACAAAAUAAAAUAAAAUAAAAACUACUAAAGAUCAGCCUCCCUACUUAGACUAGGAGGGGAGGGGAUAAUCCUCAAAAGGGCCUGAAUUCUCCUCAAAACAGACACCAAAACUUCCAAGGGCUUCUGCUCCCCAUGAUUCCAAGGAAAGAAACACUUAGGAAUCUCUUUCCACAGGGAAACUCAAUAUGCCCAAUUAGAUGUCAUAAUCAAUUUUCCAAGAGUGAAAACAGCUCAGCCUUAACAACUGCCCUAAUGCCCAACCAAGUUGAAGCUCCCAAAAGCACAACCAUCAAAAUUUAGCUUAAUGCCACCAAAAGGACUCCUGCGACAAAUAAUUUCCUCCUUUAUCUUCCUACCCAUGGAAGCAGCUUUCAAAUCAUAGAAGUGAUAAUCAACUGGUCAAGAAGAAAACAAUAUAUCACAUUAUCUACCAUAGGUCCCUUUUUUUUAUGGGUAAAUCAUAGUUGUGAAACGCCUAGGCUCCGGGCGGCGCGACGCCACCCUUUGGCGCCUCGCUUGAAGGCAGGCAACGCCCCUUCACGAAGGUGCCGCUUAGGCGCGACGCGGUCCACAGGUGCGCCUCGAUCCCCUACCUCCUUCUUCUCCUUCUCCUUCUUCUUUUUCUUCUUCUUCUCCAGCGUCGGGUUGCAAAGGGCAGGGAGAAGCCCUAACUUCUUUUUUUAUUUUUUGGGACCAAAACGACGUCGUUUUGGACAUCUUUAAAAAGGGUCAAAACGAUGUCGUUUUGGACCUUUUUAUUUUAAAAAGAACAGGCCAAAACGAUGCCGUUUUGGCCCUGUUUUCCCUUCCAACCCCCUUUUCUGGUUGUUUUCAACCCGACAACUCUCCCAAAUUUUGCCCUAGCCUCAUCCGUGUAGUGGAGAAGUAAAGAAAAUGAAAAAUAGGAGGAAAAAUAGGAGAAAAAUAUAUGUAAAUUAGGGUGCACCUUACUUCACUAAAACCCACGCCUUAGAUGCGCCUUACGCCUCAAGCUCUAGGACUACUUUGCGCCUUGGUGCACCUUGAGCCUUUUAAAACUAUGGAGUAAAUUUUUGCCCCCAUUGUGACUUGAACCUGGAACCUCUCACAACCCCUCCCCAUCCCUUCACCACUUGAGCUAGGCCUCAAGGGCAUCUACCAUAGGUCCCUUUGAUCCUCGAAGAUCUUGGCAUUCAUUCCAGCCCAAUCACCCAUCAGCUAUAAGAGCACGCCACCAAAGCACUCUUCUAGUAUACCCCUUGUUAAGCCCUGAAAGGUUAUGACCAGCAUACUAGAGAUAUCCUGAGGGGUUUGCCAAGGAUUUGGACAAUAAGGUAUGGCAGCCAAGGGGGUGUUAACCAUUGUUCUGCUACCUAUAUUUACUUCCAUAACAAACCAUAGAAGAACUUCACUUUUUUUGGUCAUCUCUAAAGUCACUUACAAACUAGGGCCAUAUUUUCAAAGAACCAUGUGUAGAUCUACUCUCCUUUCAUGCUAACUUAGGUUUGCACAAGUAUCAUGCCUAUCUAAAUCAUCUCUGAUGUCUUACCCGUGAUCCUAUCAAAGAAAAUUGCCUCGAAGUUUCUAAAUAGUAGCUGCCACCAUUUCUGUCAUCUGUCAACUAGUAAAAUGUGUGCACAACGUCUUCCUAGUUUCUGGUAUCACAUACUAUAUUAGAUCGUGUAUCAUAUAUCUUAUUUUUAUCACAUUUCAUAUCAUGUUAUAUAUUUGUCAAUAAUCUUACAUAAAAAAGUAAAAUAAAAAGUAAAAAAUAAAAGACCCAUUGGGAAACCAAUAAGCCCAUACUCCUUGAUUCGGAGUGUCACCUUCUUUCUGGUAAGGAUCCAUUAGAAGAGUCCUCUGGCAUUGAACAUUACAAACCAUCUGAUGGACAAGUUUGAUUGAGAGCAAUGUCAAAAAAUUUUACAAUACAGAGCUUCACUGAAGAACUAGUGGACAAAGUCUGUUCCUAUUCUUCUCUUCUCUUCAGGCCACAAGGAUUAAUGAUUUGUAAGAAUUCUUUGGAUGGGAGUGAGUUUGCUUCCUAACUCAACGAGAAGGGAUAUUUCAUGAAAAUGUUUGUUGUAUAUAGGCAGGGAUUAAAAAAUCAGAUUAUGUCACAGAUAUUUCGCCAAAAAAAUCGAUUAUCAACGUUGGGCGAAGGGAUAUAUCAACAUAUUAAAAAAAUCAACCCAAAGACAAACACAAACCUUUUCCUCAGAUUCGAACACUUUUGUAGAAACUGACGGAGGCGCUCCAUCAGGGACACUCACACAAUUGUAGAAUCCAGCUUCUUCCAUUGAAAGUUUGUCUAUUUCACCCUCAACCUAAAUCAAACAUUAAAAUAAUCAGGUGAAAUAUUUUUCAAAUAACUGCCCACAGCAAGUGGAGAGAACAUUAUUUACAAUGAUUAUAUCACUUGCUUCCUUUAUAUCAUCCACACCAUAGAAUAUUUUCUCUGUGUCCUUUUCCUGCAGACCAAUAGCAAAAAAUGAAGAGAUCAAAAUUGGAAUAACAUCAAAAUUCAUCCCUCAAAGCAGAAAGAAAUGUUAUGAUAAUAGCAUUAGAGGAAUUAUGCAACUAAAGAACUAAAGUUAUUAACAAAUAGGAAAGGCCAUGUCCCAAUAUCAGGAAUGAAACCCCCUAUACAGUUUUUUUGUUUAUUAGGUGGUAAGAGAUGAAGACUAAUGAAAAGAAGAAAUGCAACAAGGAGACCUCCUCAUCAAGGAAAACGGAAAAAGGGAAAUACUAAAAAUUGACAAGAAACCAAAACCAACUUCUUCAAUUUAGCAGAUAAGAUCUGAUAAUAUGAUGCAGAUGAGAUUCAGGCAAUGGAGGUCCCUUCCACAGGUUUAAAAUGCAGCUAAAUUAGAUAUCAUUCCAUUUUAUUAACCACUGUUUGUCAGUUACUUGAAGUAGAUAUCCAAACUAAUCAAAAAAUACCUGCCAAAAAUUCUUGUUAACAUCCCGAUAUUUGCAACUCACAAGCACCCCAUUUCUUCGAUAAGUAAAUGCAAUAAUAAACUGUCAAGAAAAUCAGAAACCAUCAGAUAUAGCAAUAAUGGUCACAUUCAGACAAAAGCAACAAGAAUAAAAUGUUAAUCACUGGAAGGAAACUAAUGUUUGUUAUGUUGCCUUGUAGCAUUAUGAUCCCUCUUUUCUUAGUUACCCUGAUUGAGAAGAACAGCAGCCACUCAGUCCAAAAUGAGGCAGAAAACCAUUCAUCUUGCCCCUCUUUUGCAACACAAUAACUGAGGAAAACUUUAGAGCCAUUUAGAUUCACUUUGCACCAUUAGAACUUAUGAAAAGAGAUCAUAGCUAACACUCCUGACCUUUAUAUCAGCCUCACCAGAAUUUGCUAAUCCAAAUCCAAUUAGUACAAUGCUAAGGACCGACCAUUUGUCAUAUUUUUAGGUAUAUUGCCUAUAGAAAAAACAAACCAGUUGCCUUAUCUCAAUCCCUUGAUUCACGAAUCUAUACUAAACCUUUUCCUGGGCAUCAAAACUCAAAAACCAAACAAAAAGGAAGAGGGAGGUAAGGAAAAUGUCCCCUCUCUCCUUGCUCUGUUGUAUUUGAGAGAAUAGAAUGGCCAAGUUUUUAAAGAGGAGGAGCUCGCAGAUUAGAGCUUGAAGGAGAUCUUCAAAAAGUCCCUUUUGGAGUGGACUCAGGCCCCUGGGGGGGGGAUCAACAAUUCUUCCUUUAUUGGACUUUUUAGACCAUCAAAGCUUGGGUUAGUUUACAUUCCUAGUUUGCAUUUUCUAUUCUUUUUGUGGUACUCUCUGUAUUUUCCUUGUACGCAUGGGUGGAACCCCGUUUUUGUUAGGCACUCUUUAAUGUGCCUCUAUACACCUAGAAAAAAUUCAUCAAAAACAAAGUAGCUCAUUGGUCAUAGGAUUAACUUUUGGCAUAAAAGGUAUCAUAAAUGAGCUCUAUUAUAUAAUGUUUUCAUCAUUACACACCUUUUAAGCAAAGGUGAGACCAGAAAACUCUUAAAGUCAAUUCAUCCUGAUCAAUGUCAUUGAAAAAGAGAAUUCAUAUAUACAAUUAGGGUGACUCAAACCUCAUAAUUAAUCAUUAAAGAUAAAUGAAGGUGACAGUAUUUUUCUUGAACUGAGUGCCAAUGUGCACCUGAUCACCAUAUGUUUUUUGCAUGACAGAAUUUCUUGCCAAUGUUUUUUCUGAUAUCAUUCGCUCUCCAAAAUAUGCAACUAGCUGAAACAAGGCCAAUUAGGAAAUAUUAACUAUUUUGCAUAAGGCAAACAAAAUAAGUUUACUAAAAAUAUUGCUAAACAAGACCAUCAUAGUAAAAAAUAAAAAUAAAAUAAAAUAAAAUAAAAACUAGUACUGAAACUUGAAAUAAUAGUAAGAAAAUAAAAUAGUUAGUAACAACUAAAAAAUUUACAGAAAUAUAAUAAAUAAAAAAGGAUUUAGGAAAGAGAAGCAUAGAGAAAACUUUGUGCCUUUGAGAGAAAAAUGCGAGGAUGGUGUUAGGUGAAGUUUGGUUUUCUACAACUGCAAGAAGCCAUGGUAUGCAUAUUUUAUUUGAGUUUGCAGAUGAAAACUUUCAGCUUUCAUAAUCAUAGAACAUUCCAAAUUAUAAGGGCUUAUCUAUUAAGUCUUUUGUUGUUGGGGAAGUCUUGUAGAAGAAAGUUCCACAAAUUGGGGGGUUAUGAAGAAGGAUUGUGGUCAAAGUUAGAGGUCCAGGAGAACUCCCUUCCCAUUUUGGCUGGAAUUCUGUGGAUAGAUUGAUUGAUAAAAACCUGGGCAUUGAAGGCAUUACUUGCAUCAAUUCUUUCUCACCAAUGGUUUCUCAAAAUUGAAUCAUAUCAAGAAAACAAAUGACCAAUUUGUUUUUGAGUGAUGAGGGAUCAAAUACCCAAUCAUCAUCAUCAAACUUCCAAUUGUCCUAUGGAUGAGCCUAAUCUCCUAACUUCCACGACAUGUUCACAAUUGAGCAAAUGACGAAAUGUAGAGAACACAGGUACAAUUUUUUAUUUUUAUUUUGAUAGAUAAUUGAGAAUAGGGGUACCAUAUAAAUACUAUUCAUGAAAAAAGGUUGUGCAUGAUAAGCCUUUAAGGCUAGGCUCACAUAGCAAGGAUUCGAGUGGGAUGGAGAAUGUUCCAAGUUAAAUUCCACAUAAUAGGAAAAAAAAUACCUAUUAAUAGAAAUGUUGUGUGAUAAAAACACUCUUAAAAGACCAAACUGGUUAAACCACCCAAUCAAGAUCAUUGGCAAUAAGACAAGUGAAAAGGCAAACCUCACUACAAAGUGGUUUUAAACCCAAACUUUUUUCUGUGAUUUCUCUUUUGGGCUUAAUUUUGGUAAUUUGGUUCAACCUUCCAUAUGAUGAGCUGUCAUUUACAAAGGCCUGCAACCAAAUGGAAAACAUUAGGCAAGGGGAUCUCACAACCAAUAAUGAAUCCAAAAUUUUAUAGUAAAAAUUAAUUAUAUAUCAAACUUGUGCGACAGAAGUAUCUUACCCGUAUGUUACCUCUCCACCCACAUUUUCCUUGAUGACACACCCAUACAGCAUAAUCCCUAUGGCCCUCAAAAAUUUUUGUAAUUAGAUAUGAGUGCAGAACUAUUGAAAAACAAAAGAAAAUUUAAAUUAAAAAAAAAUGUAACAUACCCAUCUAAAGUGAUGAAAAGAGAUAAGCUUUUCUCCAUUGAAUCACCACCCUUACACUAAGGUGCCAAGAACAACAUAUAAAUACAUAUUUUACAUUGAAAAUAAAAAUAAAUAAAUAAAAGAAUUAAAAAAUUAAAAACAUAUAUUUAAAAAAAAAAGCUCAAAAAAAAUGAAUUUGCAAAUAAGAAGCUAAAGGACAAAUGAAGUCACAUGUAUCCAAUUUGUACUAAAUGGAAUCCCCCAACAUACAAAAGGUUUGUUGUAAGAAGUAUUCUUUAGAUGUUUGAUCAUUUUUAUUAAUAUAGGUUAUCUAUCUGCUCACUAAUCAUUUUCAUGGGUAAACCUUUUCUUUGCAAGGGACCGCAAACUUGGGAACCUCCUACAACCCCAACCCAAACCCUUACCACUUUAGCCAAGCCUCAAGGGCUACUCACUAAUCUUUGUUUGAAACUGGAUCCCUCCUUUUUUUUCUACCUCUUCUCCCUUCAGUAUGGAUCCCAAACUGCCGCCCCUUAAGACAAAGCAAUAAAGGAGACAACUAUUCAUCCCCUAUUCUCCAACUCCACAACGAUCUUCUAACUUCAAUAAUUUAUUUUUUUAGUUUUCCAUCUUUCAUCAAACAUAGUCAACAUUUCCAUGCAUUGAUGCAAGACCACCAUUUAUUGUGUCAAUUGCCUCUCUGAAGCACUUUCUCUACUACAUGUCUAUCACUCAAAAAAAUUUUACCUUUAGAUAGUGACAGUCUGUUAUUAAACCAAUUGUGUCAUCCUUUUCUUAUUGAGCCAGAUGAAUCGAGGGCCUUAAGUCAUACAGUAGUUUUCCCUAGGAAAAGGACCAUAAAAAGACUUUAUAGCCUGUUUAAUAAUUAAGUCAGUUUUGAAGAUAAACCAUGAAAAUUCUAAUACCAUAUAAAACUAUCCACCUAUGUUUCAAUUGGUAAAUAGAUGACUCCAGGUUUGUUCUUAUUUACCCUGUUUACCUGAUAUAAUUCAAUUAGAGAAUAAUCCAGUAAAUCAAAGCAAGAAUUUGUAAACCUAUAUGUUAGAUUGAAGUCAUUACCUGGUUGUUGUAUGGUAGCAUGAAGAUGGUGUUCACUGUACACAUGGAAAUCCAUAAACCCACUUUUGGGUGUUCCAAUUCAUUUUAUCUAUAACCCUCAUCCAACAACAAACAUAGCAGCAAAAAAAAAAAAUAGAACUUAGAAACUUAUACCGUGGGACACGUCAAGUGACUGUAGUGCCCAAUUUUAAGCAUUUGUGUGUCAAAGCCUAUCACCUCCAGUUUCUUCUUCAAAACGUUGAGUCGGGCGGAGGAAUUACUGGUGUCUUCUGGGUUCUCCGAAUAAACUUCAAGAACCAAAGAAAACCAAAAAAUAAAAUAGUGUUCAAUAAGCAAUUCCAAAAAACAAAACAAGGCGCGCGUUCACACACACAUAUAUAUGAGAAGAGAAGGAAGACCUGGUCCGGGGACUUUGGAAUGGGAAGUAUAAGGUAAGGCGAAGGUUUUGAGGGAGAUUGGGAGGAUUCUGGAGUUGGGUUUUAAAGGAAAGGCGGAGAUGAUGCCGGGCGAGGAAAGGUUUAACUUGAGAGGCAGCGUGGAAGGAGUGGGUUUGAGGAGGUGUUUGGAGGCCAUGAGGAUGGUGCGUGAAGAGGAGAUGACUAGCCUCUGUUGUUGAAGAAGAAGCAUUUGAGGGUCUGAGACUCGGAGUUUGAGAAAGAGCAGCGAAAAGGGCAUCAACAGAGUGUUCGUUCAUCAGCAGUGCUCCAUGGUCGCUGCCCCCUGAACAACUUGGGAAAGCUCUCCCUACCCUCUCCCUUUCCCUCUCGCACAUUACGCCUCACGCCCCUUUGGAAGCGGACAGGCCUUAGCCCAAUUUGCUGGAACUAGGGCUUUCGGCCCAGUGUCUCUCAGGGUCGGGCCGCUCGGGGCCUUUCCACGUUCAAAAUCUAUGGGUACGUUUGGUUGCUGUUUUUAAAAACUGUACUGAAAAAUAAUUUUUUAUAAUAGUUUUUAAGAAUAAUUUUUGAUGUUUUUUAUAAAAAAAAAUUAUUUGGGAACUGAAUUUUUGAAAACAGUUUUUAUUCUCAAAAACAAAAAAAAAAAAACAUGUUUGAUUGAAUUAAUAAAAAAGUUUUUUAGAAUAAGUAAAAUAAAAAACAUAUUUAAAAUAUGUUUUUUUUCCAAUUAAUAAAAUGUUUUCUUCAAGUAACUUUAUAUUAUAAAUUUAUAAAUAAUUUUUAUAUACACAAUUCAUUUAAAUUAAAAUGUUUUUUUUCAGUUUUUAUAAAAUUUGAAACAAAAAUUGGGGAAAAAUGAAAUAAAAGAAAAGUUGAUUAAUUUUAUAUUUGAUUAAUUUUAAAAUAAAAAUAUUUUUUAUAUUUUUUUAAAAUAAAUCAAAUAUGAUAAAAUCAUUUUUAUUAAUAGUUUUUUUCUUGACUUAAUCUUUAAUUUUAUUAAAAAUUAUAGUAUAUUCUAUUAAGAGGAGAUAAAAAAUUUUAAAAAGAAUUAAUUUAAUUUUUACAACUAAUUUUCACCUAACAAGCUUGUUAAUAAAAUAAAUAGGACAUGAAAAUAAAUGCAAGUAAGGUGAAGUUUGAAGAUAGUCACUUUCCAAAGGAUCCCACGGCUAAAGAUAGUGUUUUGUUUGGGUUGACCAAUAGAUUUUACCACCUAAUAUGCUUUGACCAAUAGAUUUAUACUUUAUACAUGAAUUUUUUUUACCAACCAUGUCCCUUAAAUAUCUCUACCCAUUCUACUAUUGAAAAAAGUGUUUACCCAAUAUUCUUACCCUAUUUACAUAUUACUACCCUCACCCUCAAUCGUCUCUCAUCUUCUUCAAAUCUGAGAAAAAAGUCACCUGUAAAACCCUCUCAAAGCAACUUGUUUUCUUUCUUUUCCAUGUCCUUAAGCUAGUUUUUUUGUUUUUCUUGAACAAAACAACUCAAGAAAAAUCAAAUUUGAGAAAUAGGAAAAAUCGGGAUUUUUUUUUUUUUUUUCUGUUUUCAUUCUCCUUCCCCACUUUUUCUCAGCAUCCAAACGGGAAAAAAAAAACUAACAACACAUGAUAAAAAAAAAAAAAAAAAAAAAAAAAAAGCUCAGAUCUCAUUCGAAUAACAAAAUUGAUAUCUCUUUACCCAGAUCUAACAUUUUUCUCAACAAAUGUUGCCAAAAAAAGCCUAUUUUACUAGAUCAACCAAAAAUAACUUCAACAUAUGCGGAAAUAAAAAGAAAACACAAAUGUGUUGGUAGAGUUACCUUCAUUUCUUGGGAAUGUUGCCACUAUGCUGGAGAAGAGGAAAUAUGAGAAGAGGAAGAAAAAAAAAUACGAAGAAGAGAUAUUCUCUUUAUGGUUUUUUUUGUUUCGUAAAUAGUAAAAAAUGGAGAAAACAACACUUUUUUGUUCUCUAAAAAGUGUCAUUUUGAGAACAUGGAGAACAAGAAAAACAAAAACAACUUUCUCAACCAAAUAAGUUUUUAGUGUUUUUUGUUUUCAAGAAUAGAAAACAGUUCUUGAAAACACCAACCAAACAAGCCCUAUACUUCUAUGUUUAUACUAUAUAUAAAGUGUUUGUUAUUUUUUUGUUAUGAUAUUCAAUUACUCUUAUUUUAUGUUAUGAUAUUACCCAUUCACCUCAACAUUUUAAUCAAAGGAUAUUUUAUUUAAAUAAUAUUAUUUUUUAAAAGCAUCACUUUAAAAAAUAAAUAUCAAUAUCUAUAUUAAGUCUAAAAGAAUAAUCACCUCUAAAACAUCUUAUACCCAAAAAAAAAUCCACCUAAAAAAAUUUAUUCUUCUCUAGAAACCCCUCCUUCAAUAAAUACUAAAUGCUAAUGGUUUUUCACUUCAUAUUUCUCUUUAUAUGGAUGGUUGUUUUUCAGUCUCAACAUUAAAAAAAUUAUAACUUUCAUAUGUAAUGUCUUUUUAAUUUUAUUCACCUAUAAAUAAACUCAUUUUCUCAACCCGUAAAGAAUUCAUUUUAUUUCUCUCCCUUCUCUUUUUCAUUUUUAGAUUUUAUUUGCUCACAAAAUAACGGAAAUAAGUAUUUUCUCAUUGUUAGAUUCUAUUUGCUUACAAAAAGACACAAGUUGUCAUGAACGGUUUAGUGUUUUUUAUUUAUUUAUUGGUAGAUCUUAUAGUCCUAGUAUUAGAUACGACAUUUGCUUUGCACUUGCUUUAUCACCUAAUGCUAGAUUUUUUUUUUUUUUUUUAUCUCUCUUCGACAUUCUUCGAUGUUAUAUCUUUUUCAACAUAAUGAUUGCCUUCCUUAUUCAUCCCUCCUCAUUUUCAUGAAGUCUAUCUAGUUUUUAUUUUUAUUUUUUAUCUUUAAUGAAUCAACACUGUUUUUUAUGGAAUUGAUUUUGUUAACGGAUUGAAAAUUGUAUUAUAUUCAUUCUUGAAGAUUAUAUUGAAUUUGUUUGUGGUUCACAUUAUUUUAUAAAUAAAUAAAUUUUAAAUUUGUUAGGACAUUGAGUUUUGUUUUUAUGUUGACAAUUUUGUUCCUUUUUUUGUUUGGUCAUAGAAGUUUUUCUAGAUAAUGACUUACUUUCCAUUGAAGAUCAAAGGUUGUUAUUUGUCUAACAGGAAGUUACAUGUAUGUUUAAAGAAGUUUGGUUUGUAGCAAAUUAGGCUAUUGUGGACCCCGCAUUUCGGCUCAUGCGUUUCCCACUCGAUGGCGAGCUCGAUUUUGAUUUGAAAAAAUGAUCUUUAUUGAUUAAGAAAAUGACUUGGAGUCAUCACUUAUUUUUAUUUUAUUUUUAAAAAGGGUAAACAAAAUAAGAAAGAAAACUUUAAGUGCGACUCUUGGUUUUGGAAAAGGUGAUCUACGGAAAACCAGAUCGGGUUCGGGGGUCAGGUUACUUAUAGGGAAGGUACGGUGAAGACCAUAACACCCCUCUAAGUCCCUAAAGACGGGUUUCUACUAAUAAGAUGAAGCUGAUGUGGCAAUUGAUGAGUAAAUCAAUGAAUAUCCUGAAUGAUCAUGCACGCAUAAGAAUCGAGACAUGCAUAGACAACGAUUAGAAGGAAAAUGAGUACAUACCUAGGCAACGAGCCACCGUGCGCUAUCAAUAGAGAGGGUUAGUACACCAUAUAGAGCACAAAACAGAUCACAUGCAUCACUAAACAGGGAUUAAAAUUGUUCGAAGGAAAACUGAAUUUUUGAAAUUCAUUUGAGAAUCAGAAUAUUAGAGAUUAUUUGAAAACUGGAUUCUUAAGAAUUAAAUGUCAGAAUGAGAACUUUUAGAAAUUAAAUUUGAAAGAGAAUUGGGAUUUUGAAGAUUUAUUUGAAAGUUCGGGAUUUUUAAUAAUAAUUAAGUUACGAAAAUUGGGAUUAUGGGAGUUAAAUUUUGAAAGGGAUCAGAAUCGUAAGUUAUUUGAGCGUAGAAACUAUGAAAGUUGAUGUAUAAAAAUUGGAAAUCUUAGAAUCAUUCGAAGGCAGAAUUUAUAGAAAUAAUGAAUAAGAUGAUAAUGAUAACGAUAAUAAUAAGUAGCGGGAUAAACACGGGAAUUGGAGCAUGGGAAACUGAAAAUUAAAUUCGGAGGUGGGACAAUUGGAAUUUCAAAUAGCUAAAUUUAGAAAUCGGAAUUUUGAAGAAUUAGACUUUAAUGAUUGAAAUUUUUAAGAGAAAUAAAUGGGUAAGUAUGGAGUAAUGUUACUAAUUAAUCAAAACGAUAUUUGGACGGAUGAAUAGUGAAUAGUGGGAUUUUGAGAAUUAAGUUUGAAAAUCGGACCUUUGAAUUUUGAACUCUAAUUAUUGGAAUUUUUAGAAGAAAGAAAUAAGUAAACGUAGAAUUUAUGAUAACGAUAACAAUGAUGAUAUUUAAAUGAAUAAAAGUGAAUGGUGGAAUUUUAACAAAAAUAAUGUUUGAACGAAUAAAAUAGUGGAAUUUUUCUAAUUGAAAAUUUGAAUUAGGGCGUUAGAUUUUGAAAGAAUUAGGCUUUGAGUAAAUAGGUAGGUAUGAGAUUAUAAUACUAAUUAACGAGAAUAAUAUUUAGGCGAAUAAAGAUGGGUAGUAGAAUUUUUGGGAUUGAAGUUUUAAUUCAGAAAUUGGAUUUUUGAAGAAUUGGAUCCUAUAUAAAUAAAUAGACGCGGAACAAGAAUCCUAAAUAACAAGAAUAAAAUUUAGAUGAAUAAUGGCAUUUCUAGGAUCGAAAGUUGAAUUAAGACAAGGGGGUUUUCGAAAGAUUGGACUUUGAAUAGAUAUGGAAUAAUGAUUCUAAUGAGUAAGGAUAAAAUUUAGAUGAAUUGCAGAAUUUUUAGGGUUGAAAAAUUAAACUAAGACAUGAGAUUUUUGAAGAACUAGUUUUUAAAUAAAUAGACGAAUAUGAGAUAAUAAUCCUAAUUAACGAAAACAAGAUUUAAACGAAUUACUAAGAAACUAAAUUAAGACAGGGGAUUUUUGAAGGAUUAGACUUUGAAUAACUAAAUAAACAUGGGAUAAUAAUUCAAUUUAUGAAAAUAUGAUUUAAACAAGAAUUUGAAGAAUUAAAUUAAAAACAUGGGAUUUUUGAAGGGUUAGGCUAGAUAAUAAAUGAAUGUAUAAGAUAAUAAUUCCCAUUGAUGGACAUAAGAUUUAAACGAGUAUUUGAAGAAUUAAAUUACGGCAUGGGAUUUUCUUAAUGGAUUAGACUUCGAACAACUAAUAAUGCGGGAUGAUGAUUCGAUUUAUGAGAUUAAGAUUUAAACAUUAAAACACGUGACUUUUUUGGUAGAUUGGACUUUGAAUAAAUAAUAAAUACGGGAUAAUGAUUUGAUUUAUGAAAAUAUGAUUUAAACAAGAAUUUUGAAGUAUUAAAUUAAAACUUAGGAUUUUUGAGGGAUUGGCAUGGAUAGAUAGGUGAAUAUAGGAUAAUAAUUCUAGUUAAUGAACAUAAGGUUUAAAAGAGUGUUUGAAGAAUUAAAUUAAGACAUGUGAUGAUUUUUUUUUUUGAUAGCUUGGACUUUGAGUAAAUAAUAAAUAAGGGAUAAUGAUUUGAUUUAUAAAAAUAUGAUUUAAACAAGUAUUUUGAAGUAUUAAAUUAAACUUAGGAUUUUUGAGGGAUUGGCAUGGAUAGAUAGGUGAAUAUAGGAUAGUAAUUUUAGUUGAUAAAUAUAAGAUUUAAAAGAGUAUUUGAAGAAUUAAAUUAAGACAUGUGAUGAUUUUUUUUUGAUAGCUUGGACUUUGAAUAAAUAAUAAAUAAGGGAUAAUGAUCUGAUUUAUAAAAACAUGAUUUAAACAAGUAUUUUGAAGUAUUAAAUUAAACUUAGGAUUUUUUUGAAAGAUUAGCAUGGAGCCUAUCAUCCACACGAACUGGGCCUGGGCUCCAAUUCAAGCCCAAGUCCAAUGUCUUCAUUGGGCAAGCCUAAUACAAUAAUCCAUCACCAACUUGGGCCUAGUGCCCCAAUUCAAGCCCAAGUCCAAAGAUAUCAAUGGGCAAGCCCAAGGCAAUUAAAGCCUUCACAAACUUGGGCUUCUCUUCUAAGUCCAGCCCACUAAAGCCCAAGUCCAUUCUCCUCUUCUCUUUGGGCCAUUCAGCCACAUACUCUCCUUCUUCACCUCAGGAGACGACGACGGAGAAAGCGGAGGUGAGAGAGGCAUUGCCGGAGGUCCUCGGAGUUGGUCCAAGCUGCCAACCUCCCGCGCCACCUCGGACAUGCCCAACUGCAGCGGCCUGGUGUCGGUGGGGAGCCUGCUGCUGCAGCCUUCGUAGGAGCGUGGAGAGCUUUGUCGGCCAGAAUCUGGUCAUUGAGGAAGAGCUCAUUUGCUGACAGCAUCCUCGACGUCAUCGCCGCGGAGCUCUCAUAGCAGGCGAGCUGUGUGGAGGAUUCGAACCCAACGCCGGUGGAUGACGAGGCUAAUGCUGGGUGCACGUGGAGCGACCGGAACCUUGGCAUCGAGAGGUGGUGAGGAGCGGGAUUUUCACGGAGAUGGAUAUUGAAAAAUGGGUAUUCACGUGGAUGUUGCAGGGAGGGUGGUCAUGCAAGUUAUUCAUGCAUGUGAGAGGAGAAAGGGUAUGGAGUCUGAGAGGAAAAGGGUGGUGGUAACGUUAAUGGAUGACUGAGGUGGGGGAUGAAGGAGUGGGGGUGAGUGAAAACGUCUAUGGGGAAUGGCCAUGCAUGUGAGUGAAUAGAUGCCGAGGGGUGAGAGAGAAAGGUAUGACAUCAAGGGUCUUAGAUGGCUUAGCUAUGGUGGAUAUGGUUUCCUCUAUUAUAGGUGUGCGGACUGGUAGAAAGGUUCGGGUUCAAUGCCAUUGGGUUGGCAUGAAGCGCCCAAAGUAACGAAGAAACUCAUUCCUUGAGAGGCCAUGGAUGAACACACUGUAAGUCAACACGGACGGUGCCAGUUUUCUCUUCUUCAUCUCAUCCCGUAAUUCACAAGCACGAGUCAUGUUCUAUAUCACCCCGUCUCAUGAACCAAUAAACAUCAAAAUAAUACAAUCCAACCAACAGAGUAGGAACCACCAAGUAUGAAGAGCGAAAAUACACAGGAAAAACCAAGAUAAUCGUACCUAAAGAUGAUCCCCUCCAGCUAGGUCCGUCGAGAAAAAUCCACAAGCCCCCUUUUUUCUUCCCAUUUUUCCUCUUCCCUCCAGCCUCUUUCCUUCUUGUUUUUCCUCCUAUCUCCCUGUUUGUGGCAGCCGGUGCUAUCUUAUUGGGCAAGCCAUCACCUCCCUUUUGCUGUUCAUCCCCUCAGCAACAUGGCCUCCUAACCAUCUUCAUGGCUGCCCGUCCCAUCUGGUCGGGAUUCAUGGUAAGAGAGGGGGGUUCCCCUCACACUUCAAAAGGAAUGCAAUGAAAAAAAUAAUAAUAAAAAGAAAAACAAAACUCCACUCUCUCCGGGUGUUCACCCUAACAAGGGUCUACAAAUAUGACCCUCUUCGACAGAUUUUACGAGUGUAAGGAGCAAGGAACACUAGAGUGAAAAGAAAGUGUGGAUGAUGAGUGGAACGGAGUAAACUCUACCGAAGAAAAAAAAGACCCCAAAGGAAAACUAGUGAAACACGGACUUACUCAGGUCAAUAGUCGAACAUAAAGGCCCUAGUCCUAAAAGAGAAGGAUGUCUCAAAAUGACUCUGAAGUCACAUUAAGGACUCAGACUCUCUCUAAGAUGUCUCCGAAAGUGACUUGGAGUACCAUACCACAGAUGAGUAAUGGUUGAACCACUUUGGAGCACAAGAACGAAUGUAUCUCGAGAAAACUGUCCUAAGAGAAAUACAUGGAAGUGCUAAGUGUAGGGUGCCCAACGACAUGACCGAAGUGUGUGUUGUAAACUCAAAGGACUAUGUCUUGAGCAAUGAGAAGAGAAAUCUGGAAGAGCAAUGACAAAUAAGCGAUGAGCACAGGAUAACAUGGUGAGGAAAAUGAGAACAGAUGCAAACCCCUGAAGGCAAGAUGUGUAAUGCUAGUGAACAUGAAUGUCGAAACUGUGACUCUGAACGAUACAGUCGAGGAGAAAUGACUCCGAACGUCAAAACACGGAAAGAUGGUGACUCAAGGUCCUCGAAUGAAUAUGUACAAUGGCUCUGAACGCCAAAUUAGAGAAUGACGGUGAUAGUGAAUGCUAAAUAGAACAAUGGUUCUGAACGCCCAAAACUAAGAAAGAUGAUGACUCAAAAUGCAUGAAUGGGUAUGAAAAACGGCUCUGAACGCCAAACUAGAAGAAAAAUGCGGUAGUGGCGGCAAACGUCAAAUAGAACAGUGGUUCUGAAUGUCAAAAUCAAAGAAAAUAAAUGACUCAAAAGGUCCGAAAGGGCGUGUCCAAUGGCUCUAAACGCCAGAAAUUAGGAAAAUGGUGAUGAAUCGAACAAAAGAUAGACAUGAAGACUUUGAGCGUCGAACUAAAACCGCGACUCGGAACACUAAAUAAUAAUAAUGAUAAUGAUAAUAAUAAUAAUAAUAAUAAUAAUAAACAGAUAAUGGCCCUAAACACAGAAUGAAUGUGCGGCUCCGAACGUCGAAACAAAUGAUAUGCAGUGGCUCUGAACGUCGAAACUGAAAAUGCGAUGAUGGCCCUGAAUGCUGAUACUGAUGAGUGAACUACGACUCUGAACGCCAAAUGAAAAACUAACAAUGGCUCUGAAUGCCAAAACUGGGAGUCGAUGGUGGCUGUGAACACCGAACGAAGCGAAACAUGGCUCUGAACGCUGAAAUCGGGGACGCAAAUUGGAACGUCAAACUAAGAAGUGAUGAUGAUGGCUCUGAACGCCGAUACUGAGAAGUGAUAACGAUGGCUCUGAACGCCAAUGAAGAUGCGAUGAUGGCUCUGAAAGCCAAAAUCGGGAAUGUGACUCUAAACGUCAAACUAGGAAGUGAUGACGAUGGCUUUGAACGCCGAAACCGUGAAUGGAUGGUGGCUGUGAUCGCCAAAAUCGGGAACGCAAAUCGGAACGUCAAACUAGGAAGUGAUGAUGAUGGCUCUGAACGCUGAAACUAAAAAGUGAUGGUGGCUCUGAACGCCGAACUACAAGGAAAUGAUGGCUCUGAACGCCAACUAAGAUGCGAUGAUGGCUCUGAACGCCAAUCUGAUGAGUGAACUACGACUCUGAACGUCGAACGAAAAACUAACAAUGGCUUUGAACGCCAAAACUAGGAGUCGAUGGUGGCUUUGAACACCGAACGAAGCGAAACAUGGCUCUGAACGCCGAAAUCGGGGACGCAAAUCGGAACGUCAAACUAGGAAGUGACGAUGAUGACUCUGAACGCCGAAACUAAAAAGUGAUGGUGGCUUUGAACGCCGAACUACAAGGAAAUGAUGGCUCUGAACGCCAACUAAGAUGCGAUGAUGGCUUUGAACACCAAUCUGGGAAUGUGACUCUGAACGUCAAACUAGGAAGUGAUGAUGAUGGCUUUGAACGCUGAAACUAAAAAGUGAUGGUGGCUCUGAACGCCGAACUACAAGGAAAUGAUGAGAGGGAAAUAUGCCCCAGUGUGGCAUGCCGCUGCAAAUCUCAAUCUACUGGAAGGGUCUGAAAGAGACUCUAUGAGCCCCGAAAGACGCUCUGCUAGCUAGUCAGAAUGAUCAGGUCGACGGUGAACAUAGUCUCAGGACUUGCUCGAAGAAAUCACGAGGUAUGUCAGAGUGUCGUAAUAAGCUGAACUCCUCUAACUCAUAAUGCUCUGCCUAAAGAACCCAUUGUCAUCCAGUACGGAUAAUCUGAUAGUCUUAGGGAGUAGUCUGGUAAGAGACACACCAUGAUCUCGACAUAACAAUCUACUGAAUAGUCCUAGCCAAUGGGGUAAUCCAAACCUGAACAUCGUGCUCCACUGAAAGCUCAUCUCGACGAAAAUCACAGGAAUAGCAAUCAGUGAGGCAAAUACAGUAUAUCCUGGCUGAGGGAUGGAAACUGUGAAGGAUCUAUGAGAGAAUGAUCGCCUCCCUGGCUAAAUGAGGGAAAUAUGCCCUAGUAUGGCAUCGUAUAUACCCGAUCUGUCUUGAUAACUCAAGAGUACCUCCAUGGGGACGUACAAAAGAUCUAACAUGUACCCCGCUAAAAUGGUGACGAGGGAAUCCACGCGCCCGAGAUAACUCUGUCCAGGAAUCACGACUAUAUCAGAAAACGUGAAUCUGGCUGAAAGGCUCCAGAGAAGCUCCACAGAGUAUUAGGACACAAUGAAAUCGAAUCAUCAAUCCGAUGUGUAUCUCAAAACCAAAGGUGGUCAUGCAAAUCAGUGGGGAAUCUACAAAUCUCAAACGAAACGGGGGAUACACCCCAGUGUGGCAUCGAAAAUGUGACAGGUCGAAAAAUCAGAUGAACUCAAGUCAUCCACCAUCGAAUGCGCGACCCAAGUCAUCCAUGUCUAUAACUGAAUCAGACGCAUAGAUCAAAGGGGCGUCUCCUAGAAAGAAAGCAUGAUGACAUCUAAGUGUCGAGAAGUGUAGGUCUGACUGGGCAACUCUCGAGAGGCUCCGCUGAGGAAUCAUCAUAAAAAUAGUGAAUAGAUCAUUGUCUCGGCACACGUCUCGCAAAUAGGGAUAAGUGCACAAUCCCACCAAGAUCCGUAAAUCUCAUCUAGAACUGUAAUAUGCCCUAGUAUGGGCAUCGAACGUAUGACAUGUCAGAAAUCGGGCCACAUGAAAUCAUCUAUCAUCGAUCAUGCGACAUAAGUGAAGAUCCAUAAAUCUCAUCUGAAAUGGAAAAUAUGCCCCAGUAUGGGCAUCGGUUGCACGACAGGUUAGAAAUCGGGCGACAUAAAAUCAUCUAUCAUCGAUCAUGCGACAUAAGUGAAGAUCCAUAAAUCACAUCUAAAACGGAAAAUAUGCCAUAAUAUGGCAUCAGGUGCACGACAAGUCCGAAGAACAAAUGAUCGUGAAAUCAUCUAUCGUCGCACAUGUAACCUUCGUGAAGAUUUGCAAAUCUCAUCUGAAACAGAAAUAUGCCCCAGUAUGGCAUCAGGUGCACGAUAGGCCCGAAGAACAAGUAACGUGAAAUCGUCUAUCGUCGCACAUGUAACCUCCGUGAAGAUCCGUAAAUCACAUCUGAAAUGGAAAAUAUGCCCCAGUAUGGGCAUCGGAUGCACGAUAGGUCAGAAAUCGGGCGACAUGAAAUCAUCUAUCGUCGCACAUGUAACCUCCGUGAAGAUCCGUAAAUCUCAUCCGAAAUGGAAAAUAUGCCCCAGUAUGGCAUCAGGUGCACGACAGGUCCGAAUAACAAAUGACAUGAAAUCAUCUAUCAUCGAACAUGUAGUACUGGUCGUCCGAAUCCAUAACUGAAUCAUGCACAUAUAUCCAAGAUGUACCUCCCAGAUGGAGAGGCAUGAUGGCAUCCAAGUGUCGAGAAGUGCGGACCUAGCUGGAUGGAUCUCGGGGCUCCGUAAGGUAACAAUCAUGUCCACGUCUCAAUGAGCAUCCAGUAAGUGAUGAUGAUCGUGCAAGUCCGUGAGGAUCUAUAAACCUCCAAAUGAAAUGGGAUAUGCCCCAGUGUGGCACCAGAGGUACGAUAGGUCAAAAACCAGGUGACACCAAAUCAAUCAUCGUCAAACUCGCGAUCUCGGUAAUCCGAACACAACUGAAUCAGACCUACACAUCAAAGAGGCGACUCCCAGAAGAAGAAGCAUGACGAUAUCUAAAUAUCAACCAGAUCUCAAACACCUGUCCAAGUAGAGGCUGUCAAAGACGACAUCUGAUCCCAUGGCCUCAGGGUGGUCUUAAGACAUGGGACGUAACGUAGGCCAAGGUAAUAGGGUGAUAGAAACAAAAGAAAACUAGGCUCAAAUAUCCGAUGAUCAAAACCCAUGCCCUCAUAUAUGAAAUGCAACAUGUAUAGUGAAUCCCAUGAGCCAUGGACAUGAGGAUGCCUAACGUGAAUAUGAUGUCGAUAAGGAGACAAAUGAAGCAAAAUGAACUGAUAGUGAUAUGUGUAAUGAUGAUGCGAAGUGUGUAUCGAACCUGAGAUGGGUUGCUGUAAGGAGAGAAUAAGAUGUGAAGGGAAUGAGAUGAAUCACAAGCAACGAUAAAAACGACAGCGAAACAAUGAAUAUGUGAAGAAAGGUGGUGAUCGACUCAAAUCAAACAUGAAGUGAAGUCACAUCAAUAAUGAAUGUAAUGAUGGAAAGGACAAUGACUCGGAGUCCUUAGGAGAAGGUUACUCAUCUAUCUCACAAAUAGAUAUGACAAAGCAAUACAAAUAACGUGGAAUCUCAGAGAGCUCACAUACGAACUCCCAAUAACAAACAUACUCGAUAAAAAUGACCCCCAAACAUCAAUAUACAUACUCAAUGAUCGAGAACACUAUGCACAUACACACAUGUGCUUAUUAAUUUUCUUUUUCUUUUCUUUUCAUUUUCAUUUUCAUUUUUUUUUUACAUAUAUACAAAUUCACAUACCCUGAACAUGAACAAAUGAACCCCAAGGGUGAUGUCGAUAACGGAUGGACACCAACCCAAGUGCUAAGGCAACCCAAAACUCUCUAUAACGAGAUGACUUUCUCAAACUAAGGAUCUCUAAACCAAUGUCCGUGAGAUAGAUGGUGGAAAUGAUGUGACUAUCCUCCAUGUGAUGAACUGAGGAGGCUCACCACUCAGGGUGGAGAGAAUAUGAGACAAACAAAUAGUAGAUAGGAUAAGGCAGAAGAGAUGAAUAACACAACCAAUAAGAUGAGAUGAAAAUGCAGAGGUGCAGUGAUAGGAAAAGAUAAUGAGAAAAACGCGUUCCUAAGUCCAAGGCUCAUGAGACCUCCAAACAAUGCAUGCAUACAUUAAAGGGCCCCUAUCCCAAUGUGAAAAUGUGAGCAAGGCGAUAAGAAAGAAAGACUAUAAUGUGCAUGCGAGGCUCAAUGGGCUAGCAACGGACUAUGCAUCAAAAGGGAAUAACAAGGUAUAUGGCUAACCGAAAUGAUGGCCACCCAUCCUACGACCAUGGUCUCAAACAUAGUACUUCUUUAGCUGAUCCACAUUAGUCGGCUCUGAGAAUCUGUUUCCAUUUAAAUCCAUCAACCAUGCAGCGCCCUCUAGGGUCAACUCCUUGAUGAAAUAAGGUCCACUCCAGUUGGGUCUGAACUUCCCUCUAGGAUCUUUGAUCGAUCCCCUGAUGACUUUCAGAACCAAGUCACCUAUCCGUAAUGGUCUGGGCUUGACCCGCUUUUUGAAAGCGCGGGCCAUCUUCCUCUAGUAUGCACAAACAUGGUCGGUUGCUCUCAAUCUCCUCUCAUCUAGAAGAUUGAGCUGGUCAAAUUGAGCCUGAGCCCAAUCUGCCUCGGGAAUCUGCUGCUCUAGUGCUACUCUCAACGAACCCAUCUCAAUCUCAACGGGUAGCACAACCUCCAUGUUGUAUACCAAUGAGUAGGGUGUAGCUCCUGUAGAGGUGCGAAAAGAAGUCCGAUAAGCCCACAAUGCAAAUGGGAGCUUCUCUGACCAAUCCCGAGAAGUCUCGACCAUCCUCCGUAAUAUCCUCUUGAUAUUCUUAUUCGUGGCCUUUACUGCCCCGUUCGUCUGCGGCCUGUACGCAGACGACCUAUGAUGUCGGAUGUUAUAUCGCUACACCAAGGUGUCCACCUCUGCCCUAAAAUGUACCCCUCUAUCCGAAAUCAACUCAUGAGGGACUCCAUAGCGACAAAUAAUGUGUGAUCUGAUGAAACUAGCAACUCCAGAUGAUGUCAAUCUCGCAUACGAAGCGACCUCCACCCACUUAGUGAAGUAAUCGAUGGCGACCAUGAUGAACUCAUGACCACUGGAAGAUUUCGGUGAAAUAUUCCCGAUGAUAUCAAUACCCCAUAUGGAAAAUGGCCAUGGUGAAGCCAGUGCGUGCAGCUCGGAGGGCGGCACGUGAAUGAGAUCUCCAUGUAUUUGACACUCGAGACAUCUUUGAACAAAUUGGCAGCAAUCCGUCUCCAUGGUCAAACAGAAGUAACCGGUCCUCAUGAUCUUACGAGCCAACAUAUGUCCUCCCAUAUGUGGUCUGCAGACUCCCGCAUGAACCUCUCUCAUCACUCGAUCGGCAGAGUCACGGUCCAAGCACAAUAAUAGCAUCCUGUCAACUGAUCAUCUAUAUAAUGUCUCACCACAAAUCACAAAUCGGGUGGCUAACUGUCUCAGUGCUCUCUUAUCCUUGGCUGUGGUGGCCUCAGGAUAUACGCCAAGUCUCAGAAAGUGAUAUAUGUCAUGGUACCAGGGCAGACCAUCGUCUAUCUCCGUAUUCUCAAUCAGACAAUAGUAUGCAGGAGCAGAUCUCGACUCGAUCUAUAAUGGGCGAACAGUGGCAUCGAUAGGAAUGUCAAUCAUGGAAGCCAAAGUAGCUAAGGCGUCAACAAACUGGUUCUGCGCUCUAGGCAGAUGGGUAUAUCUCAGAUCAUCAAAUCUCCCAACCAGUAGCUCAAAAUAUGCAUGAUAAGACCUAAGCUUCACAUCUCUAGUCUUCCACUCGCCCUGAAUCUAUCUCAAUACCAGAUUGGAGUCACCAAACACCUCUAUCUGUCUAAUCUCGAGCUCGAGGGCUGUCUCUAAUCCCAAGAUACAAGCCUCAUACUCAACAAUGUUGUUCGUGGCAGGAUGUCGAUCCGAGAAUGCCAAACGAACAGAUCUGGGAAUGUGAUCACCAUGAAGGGAUAUCAACAAGACGCCUAUCUCGUAUCCAGAAUGGUUGGUUGCACCAUCAAAGUACAUGCACCAACCUGACAGACUAGUCACAACAGCGACAUCCUCGUCCGGGAAGUCAUCAUCAAUGGCUCUACCGUCGGAAACUGGUAAGGAUGCUAGGUGAUUAGCGACAACGCUCCCUCUAACAGACUUUUGAGUGAUAUAAUGGAUGUCAAACUCAGUCAGAAGCACCAACCAUCUCAUGAGGCGACCAACUAAGGCGGGCCUGUCAAACAAAUAUCUCAGAGAAUCUAGACGGGAUAUCAAGUGCACUGAAUACUCGGUCAUGUAAUGUCUCAGUCAGCGAGUUGCCCAAACCAAUGCUAAGCAAUAACGCUCAAUCAUGACAUAUCUCGUCUCGUAGUCUAGCCUCCUCUUACUCAAAUAAUAAAUGGCCCGAUCCUUGCCCGAAUCAUCAAGCUGAGCCAACAUGCACCCCAACGCCACAUCUGAAACUGACAGAUAUAGGAGUAAAGGACGGCCUGGUGUAUGAGGUGCCAAGACUGGGGGUGACAACAAGUACUCUCGGAUCCUCUCGAAUGCGCACUGACACUGAUCAUCCCAAACAGUAGGUUGACUCUUCCUCAAGAGUCGAAAAAUGGGCUCACAGAUGUCUAUCAAUCUGGUGAUGAAUCUGCUGAUGUACUGAAGUCUACCCAAGAAGCCUCUGACCUCUCUCUCUGUCCUCGGUGCAGGCAUGUCCAGGAUGGCUCUGAUCUUAUCCGGAUCUACCUCUAUGCCUCUCUCAUUGACCAUAUACCCCAAGAGUUUCCCAAAAGUCACUCUGAAAGUGCACUUCUUGGGAUUCAGUCUCAAUCUGAACUGUCGGAUCCUCUCAAAGAACCUCUCUAGAGCUGUUAGGUGAUCUGGUCUAUCUCGGGAUUUCACUAUCAUGUCGUCUACAUAGACCUCGACAUCCCGAUGCAUCAUGUCAUGGAAGAGGGUGGUCGCCGCUCUCUGAUAGGUGGCUCUUGCGUUCUUCAAUCCGAAUGGCAUGACUCUGUAGCAAUAAGUACCCCACUCGGUAAUGAAGGACGUCUUCUCCAUGUCCUCUGGAGCCAUCAAGACCUAACUGUACCCGGAAAAUCCGUCCAUAAAGGACAACAUCGAAUGACUUGUCGUACCGUCAACUAGCAUGUCGAUGUGUGGAAGGGGAAAAUCAUCCUUAGGACUGGCCUUGUUGAGAUCUCGGAAAUCAACACAGACUCUCACUUUGCCGUCCUUUUUGGGAACAGGGACGACAUUGGCUAGCCACUCCGAGUACUCGACCACUAAUAAGAAUCCUACACUAAGCUGCUUCUGAAUCUCCUCCUUGACCUGCAUGCUCCAACGAGGAUGCAAUCAUCUCAACUUCUGCUUAACCGGUCUAGCAUGGGGCAGAAGUGGCAAACGAUGUUGGACGAUAGAUGGAUCAAGGCUUGGCAUGUCCUCAUAGGACCAUGCGAAAACGUCCAAGUAUGGUCCGAGCAACUGGAUGAGGUUAUCUCUCUCAUCAAUAGAUAAAUCUGACCCGAUCCUCAACUCCCUAGGCUGAUCUGCUGUGCCGAAAUCAACAAUCUUCGUGUCUCCUACAGUAGGUGAAACUCUCUCAUCAACGGGACCCAAAUCGGAAGCAGAAGACGAGUCAUCGUCUGAAUUGUGCUAUGCAAUCUCAUCAUCAAUGUCAAAAAUUUGUGAUAUGGGUGAAGAUGGUGUAGAUAAAUCAAUAACAUGAGAGACAGACAAAUACUCAAAGGUGCUCAAAUCCAUAGAUGAAAAGUCAAAAACAUAGUCAUGACGGGAGACAAAUCCCGAUAAAACAUCAAAGGAAAGAGGUGGAUCCACAAAGUCGGACGCUCCCUCAACUAGGCCAACAGGGCCAUCAAACAAACCAUCAACAACUAUAACAUCCUCGACGACCUCUGGAGCGGGGGCGACCUGGAUCUCCCCGAUGAUCUCGAGGAUGGACACCCCGAAGAGAUCAAAUGGUGAAGCGAGCUCCGACGAGGCUAUCUCCUCGGUCUGGCUCAAGCUCAUCGUGAUCAUGUCAUCAACGUACUCGUCACGUGGCACGGCUCCGUCCACUACGUCUCCAAUCUCGACAAAAGUCCCGUGAUCAUCGAUCUCAUCCGGGAAGCAAAGCGUCAUAAGGCUUGUGCGAUCUGGGGAGGGAGGAGCAAUCAACACAUAAGUCGAAGGGCCAAGGGCUCCGUCACUCAACUGUAACUGCUGAACGAGGCGCUGAAGCUCGACCUCCUGGGUGGUGCUGAGUCCUCCAAUGAUCCCAUUAGAUGGUGCAUGUGGCUCUGAUGCCCUCACGAAGUAAUCGGCUAGGCUCAGGGUGUAUAGGCGAACAGGAUAAUAAAAGGGCGUAUGAGUCAAGCGAGCCCUCACCCUCUCCCUGCGCAGCCACGCCAUAUGACGAUAGUCGGCCUCAGUGGGAAUGAAUCCAAGCCCGAAUGGUACGUCGCGGUCCGGAAAGGCCAUGAGCUCACUAGGCCCGUGCUGACGCCGCCCCAGACCCAUACCGAGAAGAUAAGACAUGCUCCGCAUAAUAUCGAGCACCACCGUGCUGCUGUGCUGGUCGAAGGACAUGGCUACAAAGUCUCGGCCGAAAUCCUCCAUCUCCAGAGUUUGUACCUCGUCAAAGGUGAAUCCGGUCAGAAAAAGAUCAUUAUCAGCAUGACUAAUCUCGAGUACGGGCUCGACCGAAAUGAACAUAUCCCCUACAGACUGCACCACAAUGACCCGACCAUCAUGAAUAAACUUCACCUUCUGAUGAAGGGAAGAAGGAAUGACCCCAGCUCUAUGGAUCCAUGGUCGGCCCAGAAGCAGGUUAAAGGACGUAGGAAUCCUCAAAACCUGAAACACGGUGACAAAAGUGGCCGGACCAAUCAGUAGCUCAAUCUCUAGUGUACCCAUGACCUCUCUCCGAGUGCUAUCAUACGCGCGAAUGGUUUGAGUGGAGGGACCGAAUUCAGAAGGAGCGUAUCCGAGGGCAAUGGCAGUGGCAAGAGGACAUACGUUCAGGGCCGAGCCAUUGUCCAGAAGGACAGAUGAGACUCGACGGCCUGAACAGCCAACAGAUAUGUAUAGAGGGCGUGUGUGGUCCAAGCCCUCCGGUGGCAAAUCGUCGUCCGAGAAUAUGAUACAUGUGGCUCGGCCAGCCGUCAUCAUGUUAAUCAAACCCUCAGGAGUGGUGGUAGUCUCAACUCUGAUCUGGCUCAAGGCUCGAAUCAAUGCAUCUCGGUGAGUGCUCGAAGAUGCCAACAAACUCCAGAUGGAGAUACGAGCCUGAGUGCUCUGUAGCUGUCUCAAGAUCUCAUCGUCCUCGGCUUUGACCUCCUCGGGAGCGGACGUACCCUCAACUGGCCUAGCUGCCGCGGGAGGUGGCUGUCGCAUCACUCUACCUCCUCGGAGAACAUACUGAAUGUCCAGAGUCUGAGAAUCAUCAACGUGCGGAGCCUGAACCUCCUCAACAUCUGGGAUCAAGAUGAAAGGCGUCUGGACGCUAUAAUGUGGCAGAAUCAAUGGCUCAACAGUGGUAGCCUGCACUGACGCCGCUUCGAGAACUAAUCAGAAUGGAGCAGGCAUCUGAGGACCUAGAGUCGCCCCACUCAUCUCAUAAAUCACAUUCGGCAUGAUGGGCUCUGGGUCUGAGUCGUCAUCACUCAGCAUGUGGAUGUGGUCAUCAAUCUCAUCAAAGUCUAAGAAAUGAAUACCAUCGGCUGGUGGAGGGAUUGCAUGUGUGGUGUGGGCAGGUAACGGGUUCGUGGUCACACUCGGCUGACCCAAGUGUACCAAACCCUGGUUGAUCAAAUCUUGGACGGCAUGCCUCAAAGCGGUGCAUCAAUCGGUCUCGUGUCCAGGCCCUGAUGGUAUGCGCAGUGCAGAUCCAUCCUAAACUGAGGUAGAAUCGGUUGAGGUGGCGUCUUGAGAGCAAGAGCAGUUAACAACCCUGCCUCCGUAAGCUUCCGAAGAACCUGACUCAACGGCGUGCCUAACUAUGAUAACUGCCUAUGUGUCCUCAAAGCAAAUGGAACAGAAGUCUGCUGAGCUCUAGGUCGGGGAUAAGGCGCUAUGGGUCUCGCAGUGAACUAAGCAGCAUAGCAUGGCUGUCCUAUGGCCGUGUAGGAAAUCGGGGGUCUCUCAAUGCCCUGGGAGGCAUAAUAAGGCAAAGCCAAAGUCUGCGGUGUGUAUGUCUGAUCAUAAGUCGGACGAGGUGCCUAUGGCCUGUACUGAUGAGGUGCAUAGGAAGAAUGAGGCUCGGAUAGCUGUGGGACCGGCUGAUGGCGCCUGAGAGGCCUCUGACUGGAAGAACCAAUGGCGCUCACAUCCACUGACCUCUGUCCUGCGAAGGGCUUCUUCCCCUUAAUAUCACUAGGAGAAGAAUCUGUCCACAAUCCUCUCGAGAUGCCGUCCUCGACAUCGUAUAAAGCCAGAAUCAAUGAGCCAAAAUCUGCGAAUGGUACCCCGACCACGUGCCCAGCGAUCCUAGGCUGUAAACUCCUCAAGAGCAUCCGUACCUGAUCUCUCUUUGGAGGCCUGUCAAUGAUCUCGGUAAUCUUCCCACGCCAGCGGGAGAUGAAUGAUGAAAUUGACUCAUCUGUCCUCUGUCUUAGAGCCUCGAGUUCUCAUCUCGAUACGUCAACGAUAGUAUUAAAUGCAUACUGUCUCAAGAACUCUUGGGCCAGAUCAUCCCAAGUCCGACGACGUGAUACAUCCAAAGAAGCAAACCAACGCUGUGCAGCGCCACCCAAAGACAUGGGGAAAAGCAUGAUCAUCUGAGCCCCGUCCAAUCCAUGAGCCCUCAUGAUUGUACUAUAAAGCCUCAAAUGGAUGCGGGGGCACCCAAUCCCCAUGUAUCGCUCGAUCUCUGGCAUCCUGAACUUGGCCGGUAAACUGUCCAUUGGCACUCCAUCAAAAUCCUCCCAAGUAAUGGCUCUGUCUGAAGUCCUCAACUACCUCAACCUCUGCUCAAGUCUAUCCAUGCCUGCAUGCGGGUCCUCUGAGGUUGGGGUAGGCGCGGUGACGGGGGGCGAGGCAACCCCGGUUUGACUAUGCAGAGUGAACGACAUGGCUUGUGGUGCUGACUGACUAGGUGGAGGGGGUGGUGGCACUGUAGGGUCAUACCGGGCGCCGUCCUGAGGCGGGACCUACUGGGCCUGCUGCCCAUCUAUCCUCCGGCCGAGGCUAGCUAUAGCCUCCUGAAUCGAAGCCAUGGCCUCAGCAAACUGAUCGACAGUAACUAUCUGUGAAUCCAUAUCCCUCUGAUAUGAUCUCUGGUCUAACUGGUCCGAUACCCUGAUCAAUCUACCCCCAACUCUGAUCCAAGAAGUCGAACCCAGACUGAACGUAUCGAUACUCCUACAGUAGUGGAAAUACUAGAUAAGAUGCGGGGUAAGGGAAACUUCACAAAGAAUGUCUAUCAAAUGCGUCAAAAGGUAGCCUGGAAGCAAUCAAACUGAUAUCCAAUCAAAGAAUGUCUAUCAUAUGCACUUACACUACCUCGACAUCCCAGGAGGUUUCCUAUGGUUAAACCUCUCAAACUCUCAACACUCAAUGGUCAACUAGAGUGCACAGUGAACGAUGUGGGUGCAUCCGAUAACCCUAAGAAGCUAAAACAAGAAAGCAAACAUACUGGCUACACAAAUAUCCAUGAAACCUAGCUCCGGGCUAUACAGGUCUUCAAUGAUCGGAUUCCAAUUGACAUCAAAGUGUCGCUCUCCUCCAAAAUGCUCUCAUGCAUCGAUAUAGCCCAUCUCUAAACCUUACUCCUAAUCUCUAGCUCGGUCAAAGAGCAAGCACAUAGAAGGUCUCACACUUGCAAUAGUGAGAACCAGGAUGAAAAGAAUGACUGAAACCAAGAGAGUUGGAGAUAAGGGGAUAGAUAUGCAGCCCACAUAGACAAGCAACAUGCAAUCAUGCAUAAGAAGGGUAGUCAUGCAACAUACAAUCAAGCAGAAUACAGGAUAUAUCACUCAUGUCCACGCAAAAAGCUAUGACUAUCAGGACGAAUAAUGAUACAAACAUCAUGCUCAAAAGACGAUCAAGAUAAUAUGCAAGCCAGAAAAAACAACACAGCAAGUCAAACAACGUAUAAUAGUGAGUCUACGCAUAUGAAGUGAGCAAAAUAAUCAGGAAGAAACAGAAUCGCUAGACUAAGCAAAAAAACGACAUCCGAAACCCCAAUCAAGAUAAUAAAUCAUAUCAAUGUCACAACGCAAUAUCCAAGCAUGCAUAAAAAAACCCCAAAUGUGCAAUUAAGAGACAGGUACUCACUGAUCGACUCAUUGAAUGCCAUGUUUGCUUCAUCGUAAGUUCAAGCUUGACCCUCUAAAUCAUCCCUAGUGGAGUCGCCAUUUUGUGGACCCCGUAUUUCAGCUCAUGCGUUUCCCACUUGAUGGCGAGCUCGAUUUUGAUUUGAAAAAAUGAUCUUUAUUGAUUAAGAAAAUGACUUGGAGUCGCCACAUAUUUUUGUUUUAUUUUUAAAAAGGGUAAACAAAAUAAGAAAGAAAACCCUAAGUGUGACUCCUGGUUUUGGAAAAGGUGAUCUACGAAAAACCGGAUGAGGCUCGGGGGUCAGGUUACUUAUAGGGAAGGUACGGUGAAGACCAUAGCACCCCUCUAAGUCCCUAAAGACGGGUCUCUACUAAUGAGAUGAAGUUGACAUGGCAAUUGAUGAGUAAAUCAAUGAAUAUCCUGAAUGAUCAUGCACGCAUAAGAAUCGAGACAUGCAUAGACAACGAUUAGAGAGAAAAUGGGUACAUACCUGCGCAACGAGCCACCGUGCGCUAUCAAUAGAGAGGGUUAGUACACCAUAUAGAGCACAAAACAGAUCACAUGCAUCACUAACACAGGAAUUAAAAUUGUUCAAAGGAAAACUGGAUUUUUGAAAUUCAUUUGAGAAUCAGAAUCUUAGAGAUUAUUUGAAAAUUGGAUUCUUAAGAAUUAAAUGUUAGAAUGAGAACUUUUAGAAAUUAAAUUUGAAAGAGAAUUGGGAUUUUGAAAAAUUAUUUGAAAGUUCGGGAUUUUUAAGAAUAAUUAAGUUACGAAAAUUGGGAUUAUGGGAGUUAAAUUUUGAAAGGGAUCAGAAUCGUAAGUUAUUUGAGCGUAGAAACUAUGAAAGUUGAUGUAUAAAAAUUGGAAAUCUUAGAAAUCAUUCGAAGGCAGAAUUUAUAGAAAUAAUGAAUAAGAUGAUAAUGAUAACGAUAAUAAUAAGUAGCGGGAUAAACACGAGAAUUGGAGCAUGGGAAACUGAAAAUUAAAUUCGGAGGUGGGACAAUUGGAAUUUCAAAUAGCUAAAUUUAGAAAUCGGAAUUUUGAAGAAUUAUACUUUAAUGAUUGAAAUUUUUAAGAGAAAUAAAUGGGUAAGUAUGGAGUAAUGUUACUAAUUAAUCAAAACGAUAUUUGGACGGAUGAAUAGUGAAUAAUGGGAUUUUGAGAAUUAAGUUUGAAAGUCGGACCUUUGAAUAAUUGAACUCUAAUUAUUGGAAUUUUUAGAAGAAAGAAAUAAGUAAACGUAGAAUUUAUGAUAACGAUAACAAUGAUGAUAUUUAGAUGAAUAAAAGUGAAUGGUGGAAUUUUAACAAAAAUAAUGUUUGAACGAAUAAAAUAGUGGAAUUUUUCUAAUUGAAAAUUUGAAUUAGGGCGUUGGAUUUUUAAAGGAUUAGGCUUUGAAUAAAUAGGUAGGUAUGAGAUUAUAAUACUAAUUAACGGGAAUAAUAUUUAGGCGAAUAAAGAUGGGUAGUAGAAUUUUUGGGAUUGAAGUUUUAAUUCAGAAAUUGGAUUUUUGAAGAAUUGGAUCCUAUAUAAAUAAAUAGACGCGGAACAAGAAUCCUAAUUAACAAGAAUAAAAUUUAGACGAAUAAUGGCAUUUCUGGGAUCGAAAGUUGAAUUAAGACAGGGGGGUUUUCGAAAGAUUGGACUUUGAAUAGAUAUGGAAUAAUGAUUCUAAUGAGUGAGGAUAAAAUUUAGAUGAAUUGCAGAAUUUUUAGGGUUGAAAAAUUAAACUAAGACAUGAGAUUUUUGAAGAACUAGUUUUUAAAUAAAUAGACGAAUAUGAGAUAAUAAUCCUAAUUAACGAAAACAAGAUUUAAACGAAUUACUGAGAAACUAAAUUAAGAUAGGGGAUUUUUGAAGGAUUAGACUUUGAAUAACUAAAUAAACAUGGGAUAAUAAUUCGAUUUAUGAAAAUAUGAGUUAAACAAGAAUUUGAAGAAUUAAAUUAAAAACAUGGGAUUUUUGAAGGGUUAGGCUAGAUAAUAAAUGAAUGUAUAAGAUAAUAAUUCCCAUUGAUGGACAUAAGAUUUAAAUGAGUAUUUGAAGAAUUAAAUUACGGCAUAGGAUUUUCUUAAUGGAUUAGACUUCGAACAACUAAUAAUGCGGGAUGAUGAUUCGAUUUAUGAGAUUAAGAUUUAAACAAGUACUUAAAGAAUUAAAUUAAAGCGUGAGAUUUUUGAAGGAUUGACAUAGAUAGAUAGGAGAAUAUAGGAUAAUAAUUGUAGUUGAUAAAUAUGAGAUUUAAAAGAGUAUUUGAAGAAUUAAAUUAAAACACGUGACUUUUUUGGUAGAUUGGACUUUCAAUAAAUAAUAAAUACGGGAUAAUGAUUUGAUUUAUGAAAAUAUGAUUUAAACAAGAAUUUUGAAGUAUUAAAUUAAAACUUAGGAUUUUUGAGGGAUUGACAUGGAUAGAUAGGUGAAUAUAGGAUAAUAAUUCUAGUUAAUGAACAUAAGGUUUAAAAGAGUAUUUGAAGAAUAAAAUUAAGACAUGUGAUGAUUUUUUUUUGAUAGCUUGGACUUUGAGUAAAUAAUAAAUAAGGGAUAAUGAUUUGAUUUAUAAAAAUAUGAUUUAAACAAGUAUUUUGAAGUAUUAAAUUAAACUUAGGAUUUUUUAGGGAUUGACAUGGAUAGAUAGGUGAAUAUAGGAUAGUAAUUCUAAUUGAUAAAUAUGAGAUUUAAAAGAGUAUUUGAAGAAUUAAAUUAAGACAUGUGAUGAUUUUUUUUGAUAGCUUGGACUUUGAAUAAAUAAUAAAUAAGGGAUAAUGAUUUGAUUUAUAAAAACAUGAUUUAAACAAGUAUUUUGAAGUAUUAGAUUAAACUUAGAAUUUUUUUGAAGGAUUGGCAUGGAGCCUAUCAUCCACACGAACUGGGCCUGGGCUCCAAUUCAAGCCCAAGUCCAAUGUCUUCAUUGGGCAAGCCUAAUACAAUAAUCCAUCACCAACUUGGGCCUAGUGCCCCAAUUCAAGCCCAAGUCCAAAGAUAUUAAUGGGCAAGCCCAAGGCAAUUAAAGCCUUCACAAACUUGGGCUUCUCUUCUGAGUCCAGCCCACUAAAGCCCAAGUCCAUUCUCCUCUUCUCUUUGGGCCAUUCAGCCACAUACUCUCCUUCUUCACCUUAGGAGACGACGACGGAGAAAACGGAGGCGAGAAAGGCAUCACCGGAGGUCCUCGGAGUUGGUGCAAGCUGCCAACCUCCCGCGCCACCUCGGACAUGCCCAACUGCAGCGACCUGGUGUCGGUGGGGAGCUUGCUGCUGCAGCCUUCGUAGGAGCUUGGAGAGCUUUGUCGGCCGGAAUCUGGCCAUUGAGGAAGAGCUCAUUUGCUGACAGCAUCCUCGACGUCGCCGCCGCGGAGCUCCCAUAGCAGGCGAGUCGUGUGGAGGAUUCGAACCCGGCGCUGGUGGACGACGAGGCUGAUGCUGGGUGCACGUGGAGCGACCGGAACCUUGGCAUCAAGACGUGGUGAGGAGCGGGAUUUUCACGGAGAUGGAUAUUGAAAAAUGGGUAUUCACGUGGAUGUUGCAAGGGGGGUAGUCAUGCAAGUUAUUCAUGCAUGUGAAAGGAGAAAAGGUGUGGAGUCUGAGAGGAAAAGGGUGGUGGGAACGUUAAUGGAUGACUGAGGUGGGGGUGAGUGAAAACGUCUAUGGGGAAUGGCCAUGCAUGUGAGUGAAUAGAUGCCGAGGGGUGAGAGAGAAAGGUAUGGCAUCAAGGGUCUUAGAUGGCUUAGCUAUGGUGGAUAUGGUUUCCUCUAUUAUCGGUGUGCGGACUGGUAGAAAGGUUCGGGUUCAAUGCCAUUGGGUUGGCAUGAAGCGCCUAAAGUAACGGAGAAACUCAUUCCUUGAGAGGCCAUGGAUGAGCACACUGUAAGUCAACACGGACGGUGCCAAUUUUCUCUUCUUCAUCUCAUCCCAUAAUUCACAAGCAUGAGUCAUGUUCUAUAUCAUCCCGUCUCAUGAACCAAUAAACAUCAAAAUAAUACAAUCCAACCAACAGAGUAGGAAUCACCAAGUAUGAGAUAUAACGAGUAUGAAGAGCGAAAAUACACAGGAAAAACCAUGAUAAUCGUACCUGAAGAUGAUCCCCUCCAGCUAGGUCCGCCGAGAAAAAUCCACAAGCCCCCUUUUUUCUUCCCCCUUUUCCUCUUCCCCCCAGCCUCUUUCCUUCUUGUUUUUCCUCCUAUCUCCCUGUUUGUGGCAGCCGUUGCUAUCCUAUUGGGCAAGCCAUCACCUCCCUUUUGCUAUUCAUCCCCUUAGCAGCAUGGCCUCCUAACCACCUUCAUGGCUGCCCAUCCCAUCUGGUCGGGAUUCAUGGUAAGAGAGGGGGGGUCCCCCUCACACUUCAAAAGGAAUGCAUUGAAAAAAAUAAUAAUAAUAAAAAAAAAACAAAACUCCACUCUCUCCUGGUCUUCACCCUAACAAGGGUCUAUAGCUAUGUUGAGGUAUUAAGAGGAUCAGUUUUGUUUUGAACUUAAAAGAUUUUAAAAUUGACUUUUGAAAUAGAGUAGGACCACUCAAGUGACUUGAAGCGAUCAAGCACUCCAAACCGCUCAAGCAAGCGAUACCGCUUAAGCGCCCGAGGUGCUCAAAUGGUCAACAAGUUAGCACGAGCGAUCAUGCAUAUUAUGUCAAGAUUUUUCACACAAAUAUGAUUUAAAACUCUUCCAAAACCGAAACUCUUCAGGUUUUUGCCUAUAAAUACCUCCCUUUUAAUCCCUUUAGGGUUAUAGAUCAUAGAGAUUGGAGGUAUCACAUUAAGAUCAUUUAGAGACCUUUCAUUCUUUAAAAAAGGUCUCCUAGAGAUAAAGCCUAAAGUGUGACACCAUUCUCAAUCUCUCAUUCAAGGAUUCGAUAUUUGAAUAUUGGUUUGAAGACUUUCAUCCAUUCGGCGAGGUUGAAGUGAUCCAUGGAGCAAUUGAAAGUUACUAUGUUGCAAAUGUGAAUCAAGUUGUAUGUAUUGAAGAGUAAGUCUCUAAGGUAAAGUGGUCAGGUAAAUUUGUGUAACUUGAUUUUAUAUAGUGAAUUUAGAUUAGUAGGUCUUAGAUCUCAUUAUUUUUUAUCUUCAUAGUUAGUGUGAGGGUUUCCCACGUUAAAAUAUUGUGUCUCAUUGUCUAUAAUUUUUAUAGUUGAUAUUUUGUUUGAAUUUCCUAUAAUUGAUAGAAAAUAUUAUUUCUAACAUAUUAUAGGGUAAAGAGAAUUAGGUAUAACUUAUAAAUAUUUAUUAAAAUUUUAAAAUUAUUCAUUCAUCUCUCCCCCCUCUAGGUGUUCCUAUUGGACUUUCGAUUUUUUAAGGGUGAUCAUAAAAGUCCCUAAGUAACUUAAGGUGAGUUUAUGUAAGCUGAAAGGUGCUCAAGUGACCUAGGGCAUGUCUAAGUGACCUAAAAAGUGUAUAUGAAUAUGCCUAAGUAUGUUGUCUUAAAGGUGUACUUAAAGGAACUAUUUUAGAAAUAAAAAAGAAAAAUCCUAGAUCUAACUCAAGGUUGCCAAGGGUCACAAUGAGGAACCAGAUAAAUCUCUUAAUCGGAGCUCUAAUGUGGCUAAAAAAUACAAGUCGUGUGAGUAGUAAUGGAUCACCAAAGAACUAUUGUGGAGUAUUAAAAGAACACUUAAUGGAGCGUGAACUAAGGGGAUAAAAUAGAGGGUUACAAAUAGGUUCAUCCCAUCAAUGAACCAUUAACUAAUUGUGAAUUUCAAGAUGAAUCUAAUUUAAUUUCAUCAAAAUCUUUGUAUGGGAAAAUGAAUCAAAAUAUUUAAUAAAAGAAAACUUUUAAGAAAAGAAAACUUAAUGUAGUCAUUAAGACCACUUUUAGUUCUAACUAACAUGAAUAUCUUUUUUGUUGUUAAUAUUGAUUCAAAAAACAUGGUUGUCAUAUAUUUGAUAUUAAAGUUGGACCAUCAAAUUUGGUGGGCAUAAUACAAUUAAUUUAGCACAAAUUCUUAAUUAAAGGUUAUUUGGGCAAAAAAAUUGCUACUAGUAUGGUGCAUGUUUGACAUUACAUUGAAAGUAGAAUGUAGGACUAUUGUGAUCUAUAUUUGUAGUUUAUUUGUUCAAAUUAUAUUACUUUGGAAUUUAGAGUGAUUGUUAUUAUGAGUAACUACUUGAUGAAUCUAGUAAAAGAAAACUUAAGUCAUCAUUAUAGAUGAAGUAAGGGAAUGUUGGAAUUAGAAGUGGUUUUAGGUGGUAUUUGUUUUUUGACUGAAUAUAAAAAAUAAAAAUAUUUGACUUUUUCUAUUCAAUUUAAAGUAAUUUGUUGAUAUUAACUAAUAUAACUAAAUCGAACCUAUUGAUAACAAGUUUACUUUAAUUAUGUUGAUUGAUAUAAAUAGGUUACUUUUUGUUAGGAAUUUGAGGCUAAUCCAAACUAUGGUAAUCACCCUAGAGAGGGGGAGGGGGUAAAUAGGGUGAUGGUCUCUUUUUCACAAAUUUAAACUAUGCAAAAAUAAGAGACAAUUAUAUGCAAACUAUUGUAAUCACCCUAGAGGGGGGGGGGGGGGAGGGGGUGUAAAUAGGGUGAUGGUCUCUUUUUCACAAAUUUAAACUAUGCAAAAAUAAGAGACAAUUAUAUGCAAACUAUGGUAAUCACCCUAGAGAGGGGGGGGGUAACUAGGGUGAUGGUCUCUUUUUCACAAAUUUAAACUAUGCAAAAAUAAGAGACAAUUAUAUGCAAAUAUAUAAUAAACAAAAUAAACACAAUUGCAUAUAAUUUAAAAGAGUUAGGGAAGAGAGAGUGCAAACACGAGAGUUUAUAGUGGUUCGGCACUUCCUUGCCUACGUCCACUCUCCUCAACCUCUUAAUCGAGUGAGAGUUCCACUAUCUUGAAGCUUCAACCAAACUUCCAAUCUCUUUACAAUUGGAUUAUGGUUCCAAUUCACCCUCUUGGACUUUUGGCUCCAAACACCUUUUACACUUCUCAAGAGUUAUCCCACUCUUGAACAACCUCUCAAGUGAUACCCCCUACUUGAGAAAAUUCCUCUCAAAAAUAUACAAAGAUUGAUCUCACAAAAAUCUUAGUAAUAGAACUUUAGGCUCAAGGAUACAAGAAAAACUAGGAUUGAAUGGUGCACUAAAGAUAUGCAAGUUAUGAAACAAUGGUGCACUAAAAAACACUCUUCCAAGGCUCAAAUAUAAUCAAGAAUGAUUUGGGAAGGUUAAACUUAUGGAACAAUGAAGAUUGGAUCCUUUUUAUAGAAUAAAAAAAGUCAAACUAGCCGUUGGGGGUUCGACAGGUCGAUUAGCCGUUAGGAAAAGUGACCGUUGGGCCUCAACCGGACCUCGACUGGACCUCAACCGAUUGAGGUUCAACCUUGACCGGGAAGAGAAGGUCAUUGGGAGAGAGAGAAACUUUUUGGCCUCCCUCAACCGGUCCUCGACCGGACGAGCACAACCAGUCGACCGGUUCAACCGGUUGAGCCAUUUUUUUGGCUCAACACUCAACCUUUUUCAACUUAAAACCUUUUAACACAAGUUUGAAAAUCAUUUAACACAAGGUUUUAGUUGAAAACAUGAAAUCAUCCAAUUCUUAAGAUAUUUAAAACAAUAUUACUCUUGGAUGAUUUUGGUGCAUAAAUAAAGAAUGAAAUGCAUGAAAGUCCUAGUGCACCAACAACCUUACAAAGAGAUCUUAAGAAGCUUUGGUCUUGAAAAACUCUUCUCUUUGAGGUGGUCUUCUUCUUCAUGAUUUCUCCUUGGCUUGAUUUGUCUUUGGAUUGCCACUUUGGAAGUCAUCUUGCCUAAUCACACUUGAAAUAUGAUAAUUAGUUCUAAAUCUUGUUUUGUUAUCAUCAAAAUCAAGAUUAACCAAACCUUGGUUUCACACUUUUAUCUUAAGAGAAAAAACCAAAAUACUUGGCUUUUUCUAUUCAGCAAAAAAACAAACACAACCUUAAUGUAUGUCGACAUUAAAUUUUCUUUUCUUUAUAGUUUUUAUUCAUCAUUCCCUAUGCAUGAACUUUAGUGACAUUAAAUUAGAUUCAUCUUAAAAAUGCAUAACACUUAUUAAGUUCAUGUUCUAAUUGUUAAUUAAAGAUUCAAAGUAUCAAACUAAUGGCUUAUUGAUGGGAAGAAUCAUAAAACACUUAUAUACAAAAGAGUUCUUGAUCCCUUUGUCUACUCAUUUUUUUAAAACAUUUUCCAUACUCAUCAUUAAUGAGUGCAUAAAAGAGAGUAGGACAAUGAAGUUCAAGACAAUUAUUUGAAGAUCUUUAGAUCAUAUUGAAGUUAGAAUUUUGGAUUGAAGUGUGCUUUCUUCUUCAUAUCCUAUGUGUUAUUGCAAAAUUUUUUAACAGAGUCUCGGUACAAUAUAUGACAAGGAACAUCGGGUCUAAAUUUUUUUCUAACAAGGUCCUAAUACUAUAUAUGACGACUUUUUCAAUAUUUUCAUAAAAUCUAACAAUUAAUAUUUCUACGAUAUCUGAUAAUUCAAUGCUUACUAAAUAUUGUACUUAGUUUACAUUAUAAAAGGUAUUUGAAAAAAAAUUACAACAAUGCUAAAAAGAAUUCAAAUUCUUUUAUUUGAUUCAUUAUGAAAAGAAGAAAAAUUUUAAAUAUUAGAAUUUAUUUUAAAAAUUAUAUAUUUUAAAUUAUAUAUUUUUUUAUUUUUAAUCAAUUUUUAUAUUUAUAUAAUUAUUUUUUUAAAUAAUCCUUAAAAAAUAAGUGAAAAUAAAUAAAAAAAUAUUCCUAAAAACAUCACAUUUUUUAUUUUUAAGAUUUCUAUUAUUAAGCAUGUUUUCCUAAAUUAUUUAAAAAACAAUUACCAACCAUACCCAAACAUUUCCUUUAUUUGGACCCUUAACCCUUUAUUUUCCUAAAGUUUGUUCACUUCUUUUGCCUAUUAAUUUGUUCCUUCCUAAUUUUUUCCUCUUCAAAACUCAACGUGGAGGAAAACGAAGGGAGGACAAUUUAUUUUAUUUUAUUUUAUUUGUUUGGAAAAUAAUGAUAUGUAGGGCAAUAGCAUUAUUAAUGUCAAAGUUUCACCCACAACCACUUCUAAAUUGAAUCAGAUAAACUAGAGUUACAGGGGGAAGAGAUUUCAAACAUGAGAUUUUUUAUCAAAUGAAUAUGGGUUUGUUGCCUUCUAUAUGUGUGUAUAUAUAUAUAUUACUUUAUUCUUAAAUUUCUUGUAGAACUUGGAAGAAUUAAGCUUUGUUAACUAUUUUUUAAAAUAAUUUGAAAAAUAAUUUUUUAAAAUAAUUUUUUAACAUUUUGUAAAAUAAAAGUCUUUUUGGGAGUUUGAAAUAUUUUUAACUUAUUUUAAUAUUUUUAAAUAUGUUUUAAAAAUAAUUUUUAUAUUUAUAAUUUUAUUUUUAAUCAUUAGACAUAUUUGUAUAAUUAGUUUUUAAAACAACUCUUAAAAAACAAUAAAAACAACUAAAUUUUUUUUCAAAAUACCAUAUUUUCUAUUUUUGAGAAUAGAAAAUAAAAAACUAUUUUCUGGUUAUCAGAUGUAUUUUUAAUUUUUUUUGUUUUGAAAAAUAAAAAAUUGUUUUAAAAAUAAUUAUCAAACAUACCCGUAGUUAUGCUUGAUAAAUCAUAACAACACCUGUUCAGUCAUGAGAAAUUUUGGGGAAAAAGAAUCAAUAGCCAUCAUGCACUAUUAAUUAAAGAAUAAAGGGAAUUCCCUUUUCUCUUUUUUUUUUUCUUCAAAUUUUAUUUUCUUUAACUAUUUUUCAGCUCCGUUCGUCCAAAGAGGAAAAACCUGUUAUUGUUAUUAUAUAUUAUUUAAAGAAAUUCAACUUUUGAAAACUUUUCAUAAUACUUGAGAGUUUGAAAACCAGAGGUAAGAGUUAGAAAUCAAAAAAUAAAUGAAUAAACAUACAAAAAAAAAUCAAACAAUUGAUUGAAGGUUUGCUCUGAAUGGCCUUUGCAGUGAAAAUACCGGUGAUUAACAGUGGCCGAACGUCAGCAAUUUUGUCCUAAAAUGAAAUUAAACACUAGGCUGACCGUUCACCACUUGAGAAUACGUAGCCAAAAAGUAUAUAUAGCAUGCUCCAUUGUUAGGAAAUUUCAACUCUCCAAAAUUGGAUCUGGUCAUGCUUGUGCUUGAAAGUGGGAAACAGAAACAACUACAUCAACUUUGGGGUUAAGACACAGAUAGUUCGACAUGUGGGUAGCUUGACUACAAUCAACAGUUCAUAUGGGACUAGAUUUCAAUGUAUGUACAUAUGGGCCCUGUAGGGACCCCUCCCACACGUGGCACACAUCUCCUAAUGACAUGUGGCACACAUUCUCAUCCGGAUCAGCCUCAUCCUGAUUUCCCCAAGAGUACACGUGGCGCGCUUCUCCUAUCCAGACUCUCUCAAGGAGAGGCACACGACGCUCACAAACAUAACAUCCGGAUGACUGCCACAGCACAUUCGGACGACCGACAUACACUAUCCGGAUAUGUUUGUCCGGAUCAUUGACUGAAGUAAGCAAGUCUUACACGUUAUCACAACAGCCUGCCAUGGCCCACGUUCCGCCACCUGCAGGGUGGAAGAACAAGAAUGAAGUGACAACAAGUCACUUCCUACGAUCACUUCCCACGAUUUCUAACAGUAGCAGCAACUACCACGAUCUCUGUCAGCCGCCCGUAGGGUGAUAAUGGCCCUGCCACCACCUAGUGUCAUCAUAACAACACAAAAUAUCUCUCUGCCCUUAAAGAGAGAAACAAAGCUUCUAAUACUAUAGAUGUGAACCUUCACAUAAAGAGGAAGGUAAGCUUGCUAUACCUAGUAAAAGGCCAACUGAUUUAUCUCUAUCUCUCUAACCAUGGCUGACAAAACCAUCGGAGGGUGCGUCCGGACACCCUGUCCGGACGCCUUUUGCAGGUAAUACAAUUGAAUCAAGAAUCUAUAUUGGUUGAGAUCGUGCAUCCACCCAUUUGGCAACUACGUGGAUCACCAGGGACGCGAGGCCUCAACAGGCCCGAUACAAGUAUUCAACUGAUAGACUUGUGUAAUAAUCAAUAUCCCAUGCACUAACUAUAUGCCCAAAAAAUGGAGAAGGCUAGGCAAAAGGGAAAUCAAUCUUUUGAAGGAAAAUCAGCUUCAACAAAUCAAGGGACACUAGCUAUAAGGCUUCAUUAAUUAAUUAGUCCCUUGUUUUUGCCAACAUGACAUGACUUGUAAUUGUCUUUUUUUUUUAUAAAAAAAAAAGAAAAGAAAAAUUGUGAUGUGUUUAUCAAGCUUUGUAUGUAAUUCGUGGUAGACUUCAAUCACAAUAAUCUAGCGUGGUUGUGGGAAGUGGGGGAAAAAGAACUCAAUGAGAUUGGUCAAGUUUCAAGUGUCAAUUGCCAUGCAUGUAGGGUUCUUCAUUUCUUUCCUUGAACUUUCUGCGCCCAUUUAUUGUGGAGAAACUUCAACCUAACUAAAUGCUUGAACUGUUCUCUUUAAGAAAGAUGGAAAAGGCAUCACAAAUUUAAGCAUCCCAUGCACGUUCACAUUCUCUGUUUCAAACAGUCUUCUCCAAAACUACAGUAUAAAUAAAGGAGGUGUUAUCUCCCCUUCACACAAAAAAAAAUAAUACUAACUUAAGAUAUGGAGACUCCAAGUUCUUCAUUGCUUUCACUUGCUCUUGUUCUUCUCUUCUCAUUUGUCUUGGCAGCUUUAGCCGAUGUUCAUGAGAAUUUUCUCCAGUGCCUUACACUUCAAUAUUCUCAGAACACCACCCUAAUUUCCCAAGUCAUUUACACCCCAAACAACUCCUCAUAUUCAUCUGUCUUGCAGUUCUCCAUACAAAGCCCCAGAUUCCUGUCACUUGCCAUCCCAAAGCUUCUAGUCAUUAUUGCACCAUUGUAUGAAUCCUAUAUUCAAGUAGCCAUUAAUUGUUCAAGAAAACAUGGCAUGCAGAUUAGAGUUCGGAGCGGGGGUCAUGAUUAUGAGGGCCUUUCUUAUGUUUCUGAUGCCCCAUUUAUCAUUCUUGAUCUCAUAAAUCUUCGAUCCAUCAGUGUACAUGUGGCUAAUAGCACUGCGUGGGUCCAAGUUGGUGCUACUAUAAGAGAACUUUACUAUAGAAUUGCUGAGAAAAGAACUACUCUGGCUUUCCAGCUGGUGUUUGCCUUACUGUAGGUGCUGGUGGACACUUCAGUGGGGGAGGCUAUGGAAUGUUGCUACGUAAAUUCGGUCUUGCUACUGAUAAUGUGAUCGAUGCACACUUAAUUGACGAUUUGACGUUAAUGGUAGAAUUCUUGACAGAGAAUCCAUGGGGGAGGAUCUGUUUUGGGCCAUUAGAGGAGGUAGUGACGCUAGCUUUGGAGUCAUUAUUGCAUGGAAAAUAAUGCUAGUUUCAGUUCCCUCCACUGUCACUGUAUUCACAGUUCGAAAGACCUUAGAACAAAAUGCAACACUGCUUGUCCUCCGAUGGCAGUACAUCGCGGACAAGUUAGAUGAAGACCUCCUCAUCAGAAUCAUCUUAAGAAGGGUGAAUUCCAGUGAAGAAGGGAAGAAAACAAUAGAAGCUUCAUUCAACUCCUUGUUCCUUGGUGGGGUUGAUGAGCUCCUUCCGCUGAUGCAGGAGAGCUUCCCAGAAUUAGGCUUGGUGAAAGAAGAUUGUAUCGAGAUGAGCUGGAUCGAAUCCAUCCUCUACUUUGCUGGAUUCCCAGGUGGGGCUUCCCUGGAUGGUUUGCUGGAUAGAACUCCUCUCACCCGAAGGUUUUUCAAAGCCAAAUCAGACUAUGUGAAGGAACCCAUUUCUGAAAUAGGGUUAGAGGGGAUAUGAAGGAGGUUUUAUGAAGAAGAUGUUGCAGCAGCUGAGAUGAUCUUCAGUCCUUAUGGAGGAAGGAUGAAAGAGAUCCCGGAGUCUGAAGCUCCAUUCCCUCAUAGAGCAGGGAACAUAUAUAAAAUUCAACACUUGGUGUACUGGGAAGAAGAAGGAUCUGAGGCAUCCAUUAGGCAUAUGAGUUGGAUCAGAAGGCUUUAUAGUUACAUGGCUCCCUAUGUUUCAAAAUCUCCAAGGGCAGUGUUGUAGUAUGUGGCUCAUAUUGGAGAUUGUUGUGGGUAAAUGAUAGGUUGGGGGGGUGUGGGGGGCAACGCCCCCGCGAUAUGGAUCAGGGGUAUUUUUGGAAUUUCAUUCUUAAGGGUUAGUAUAAAUACCCUUUUAUGUAACCCUAAUUUGAUACAUAGUGAAAAUCCUCUUUCCAUGUUCCCGUGGACGUAGGCAAUUAGUUGAACCAUGUUAAAUCUACGUUUUCUUCUUUCUCGCUUUUCUUAUUUUUCGCCAUCAAAUCGUUACACUGAUCACAACAAUUGGUAUUAGAGCCAGGUUGGGAUUGAUGUUUGGGAUUUCUUCUGCGAAGUUUGACGUGGUCAAGUUCAAUGGAUCUGGGAAUUUCGGCCUAUGGCAGAGGAGGGUUAAAGAUCUGUUAGUGCAACAAGGUAUGGUGAAGGCGUUAUAUGGAAAGCAACCAGAAGGAAUGGACGACAUGGAUUGGAAGGAUUUGGAAGCGAAAGUUGAGGCAACGAUUAGACUUUGUUUGGUUGAUGACGUGAUGUACCAUGUCAUGGAUGAGGAGUCACCGACGACAAUCUGGUUGAAAUUGGAAAGUCGGUAUAUGUCCAUGUCGUUGACGAACAAGUUGUAUCUUAAGCAGAAACUGUAUGGUCUUAAGAUGGUAGAGAGUUUAGAUCUAAGCCAACAUGUCAACAUGUUCAAUCAAAUCAUUAGUGAUUUGAAGCGAAUUGAUAUGAAGUUUGAAGACGAAGACAAGGCAUUGAUGUUAUUGAAUUCCCUUCCUGUUUCUUCUAUGUAUGAAAAUCUAGUUACAACUUUGAUAUGGGGGAAAUAAACUCUUGAUUUGGAGGAGAUCACGAGCGUUCUUUUAGGAUUUAAUAAGAGGAAGAAAGCCAAUGAUGAGAGUUCUCAGGGUGAAGGGUUUGUGGCAAAGAGUAAUCAGGAACGUGGGAGAAACAAGUUCUAGAAUGAAUCGAGUAAUAAUAAAUCUCGAUCUAAAUCUAGGAAGAGAAAGGACAUACAAUGUUACAAGUGCAGAAAAAAGGAGCACAUGAAACGAGAUUGUCCAGAGAAAAAGAAAGAGGGCUCAAUAUUAGAAAAUAAAGAGGGUUCAUCAAAGUCUACGAAUGUAGUGGCAGAAGAAGACUCAGAGAGUGGUGAUGGUGAUAUGCUGUCAGUUUCAUCCAGUUUAGAUCAUCUUACAGAUUCUUGAAUCCUGGACUCAACAUGCUCUUAUCAUAUGACACCCAAUAAAGAUUGGUUUAACACAUACAGGUCAAUAAAUUCUGGUUUUGUUCUGAUGGGUAAUGAUGCUUCAUGUAAAGUUGCUAGAAUAGGGAAUAUUAGAAUUAAAAUGUUUGAUGGUGUUGUUAGAACGUUGUGUGAUGUUAGACAUGUACCUGAUUUAAGGAAGAGUAUGAUUUCUUUGGGGACUUUAAACUAUAACGGGUUUAGUUACAAGUCUACAAGUGGAGUAAUGAAGGUGAGCAAAGAUGCUAUGACAGUGAUGAAAUGGUAGAAACUAGCAGGAAAUAUUUAUAAAUUGUUGGGUACCACAAUUGUAGGUGGAGUUGCAACCGCAAAGUUUGAGUCAGACAGUACAGUUUUGUGGCAUAUGCGGUUAGGGCAUAUGGAUGAGUGUGGGAUGAUGGAGCUUCAUAAGAGAAAUCUGUUGAAGGGCAUCAAAACAUGUAAACUUGAUUUCUGUAAGUAUUAUGUUUUUGGAAAACAAAAUAAAGUGCAAUUCAAGACAACCACACAAAAGACCAAAGGGUUCUCGACUAUGUUCAUACAGACGUUUGGGGACUAAUGAGGGUAGCAUCUUUGGGAAGAAAUAUGUAUUUUGUGAGUUUUGUUGACGAUUACUCACAAAAGGUUUGGGUGAACUUCAUGUGGCACAAGUUAGAAACGUUUGCCAAGUUUAAGUUGUGGAAAACUGAAGUAGAAAACCAGACAGGGAGAAAGAUAAAAUGUCUCAGGUCAGAUAAUGGUACUGAGUAUACAGAUUCAAAGUUCACGGAAUUGUGUGAGCAGCAUGGGAUUAAGAGACACUUCAUAGUACGCAAGACACCACAGCAGAAUAGUGUAGCAGAAAGGAUGAACAUAACAAUAGCUGAAAGAACUCAAUGUCUCAAAUUGAAUGUAGGCCUUGAAAAUAAAUUUUGGGUAGAAGCAGUCAACAUGGCAUGUUACUUGAUCAACAUGUCACCCAGAGCAGCAUUACAUGGGAAAGUAGUAGAUGAGGUAUGGAUAGGCAAUCCAGUAGAUUACUCUAGUUUGAGAUUAUUUGGGUGCCCAACCUAUGUGCACAUUCCUAAUGAGGAGAGAUCAAAGCUUGAUGAGAAGUCUAGACAGUGUAUCUUUCUGGGGUAUUAGAAAGGGGUGAAAGGCUUCAAGAUCUGCGAUCCAAAGGCAAACAAGGUGGUGAUCAGUAGAGAUGUGGUUCUUGAUGAGAAAACCAUGUUACAGUGUACUCAGAAAGGAGAGAAAUAGGAACUAGAAAGUUGCAGUAAUAAUGAACAACUGAUAUAAGUGGAAUUAGAGACUCAUGAUACAGAGGAUCAUGCUUGGAAUGCAGGGAAGUCUAGUUCAGAAGAUCAACAACAUCACAGUAUAACCAUGGAUAGACCCAGACGCACUAUUAAGCCACCUAUCAUGUAUGGUUUUGAAGAUUUGGUUUCUUAUGCAUUGAUUACUAGUAACGGGGAUCCUACUACUUUUCAAGAGGCAAUACACAGUCAAGAGAAAAGUAGAUGGAUGGGUGCUAUGGUGGAGGAGAUUCAAUCUUUGCAUAAGAACCAAACACGGGAUUUGGUGAAGCUUCCAGAGGGGAAGAGAGAAAUAGGAUGCAAAUGGGUGUACAAGAAGAAAGAAGCAGUUUCAAAAAAAGAUGGUGAAAAGUUCAAAGCUUGUUUAGUAGAAAAAGGUUACUCACAUAAGAAAGGGGUUGACUAUGAUGAUAUCUUCUCCCUCGUGGUUAGACACACUUUCAUCAGGACAGUGUUGGAUUUGGUAGCACAUUUUGACAUGUAGUUGGAGCAAAUGGAUAUAAAGACAGCUUUUCUUCAUGGUAAUUUGGAGGAGCUGGUUUAUAUGGUACAACCUGAAGGGUUUAUUCAACCUGGACAAGAACAUUUGGUCUGUAAAAUUGAGGAAAUCACUUUAUGGGUUGAAGCAGUCUCCAAGGCAGUGGUUCAAGCGUUUUGACUCCUACAUGAUCAGGAUUGACUACAAGAGAUGUGAGUAUGAUUGAUGUGUUUAUGUAAAGAGCCUAAAUGAUGAUUCAUCAUUUAUUUUUCUAUUACUCUAUGUGGAUGACAUGUUAAUUGCUGCAAAGAGUAUGGUUGAGGUCAAUAAGCUGAAGUCCUUGUUGAGUAAGGAGUUUGACAUGAAGGACUUAGGUGCAACCAAAAAAAUUAUUGGAAUGGAGAUUCACAGGGAUAGAGCUUCAAGGAGAUUAUGGUUAUCUCAAUAUAGCUAUGUCAAGAGAGUAUUGGAGAUGUUCAACAUGAAUGAUGCAAAACCAGUAAGUACACAUUUGGCAAAUCAUUUUAGGUUGUCUACUAAUCAAUAUCCAAAGAUAGAUGAUGAAGUGAAAGACAUGUCAAAGGUUCUAUAUGCAAGUGCAGUGGGAUGCUUGAUGUAUGCUAUGGUUUGUACAAAACUAGAUUUGGCGUGUGUUGUUAGUGUGGUGAGCAAGUUUCUAUCAAAUCCGAGAAGAAUGCAUUGGGAUGAAGUCAAAUGGAUUUUUAGAUACUUAAGGAGUACUACAGACUAUGGCAUCAUGUUCAGCAAACAAUAGAGUGAUCCUUCAGUUAGAGGAUAUGUUGAUGCAGACUAUGCAGGAGACUUGGAUGAUAGGAGGUCUACCACAAGUUAUGUAUUCACUCUUGGUGGAGGACCUAUUUGUUAGAAGUUUAUGAUACAGUCUUUAGUUGCACUAUCUACUACUGAGUCAGAAUAUAUGGCAAUAGUUGAGGCUGCAAAAGAAUCAUUAUGGCUUAUAGGUUUGGUUAAGGAGUUGGGUAUUUAACAAAGUGGAGUUCAAUUAUAUUGUGACAAUCAGAGUGCCAUUUAUUUGGCAAAGAACCAGGUGUAUCAUGCAAGGACCAAACACAUAGAUGUGAGGUUUCAUAAGAGCAGGGAAUUGGUUUCUUCUGGUGAACUAUUACUUGAGAAGGUUCACAUCUCUGAGAACACAAUAGACAUGUUGACAAAGCCUGUUACCAUAAAAAAGUUCAACCAUUGCUUGAACUUGAUUAAUGUCUCCAUUUGUUGGAUGGGAGAUAUCCCAAUCUAUUGUCCCAGGUGGAGUUAUAAGCUAUGUUUCUUGUCUUUUUAAGGGGAGAGUGAAUAUUCGCCAAGGUGGAGAUUGUUGUAGUAUCUGGCUCAUAUUGGAGAUUGUUGUGGGUAAACAAAAGGUUGGGGGGUGUGGAGGGCAAUGCCCCCCGCGGUAUGGUUCAAGGGUAUUUUUAGAAUUUCAUUCCUAAGGGUUAGUAUAAAUACCAUUUUAUGUAACCCUAAUUUGAUACAUAGUGAAAAUCCUUUUUCCCUAUUCUCAUGGAUGUAGGCAAUUAACCGAACCAUAUUAAAUCUGCAUGUUCUUCUUUCUCACUUUUCUUAUUUUUCGCCAUUAAAUUGUUGCACGGAUCACAACAUGCAGCAUAUCUCAACUACAGGGAUCUUGACAUAGGUACAAACAGGAACAAAGGCAACACAAGCUAUGCACAAGCAAGCAUUUAGGGUGUCAAGUAUUUCAAAAACAACUUCUAUAGAUUGGUACAGGUGAAAGCCUCAGUUGAUCCUAUGAAUUUCUUCAGGAAUGAACAAAGCAUCCCACCUGUUUCAAUACCAUGGUAGAAGAGGAGAGGAAACUAGUGAUUCUUGGCUAGAAAACAGUACUCCAUAUGUAUAUCAAAAUUGCCCUCCAUCGACCAAUUAAUCCAUGUUUUUUUCUUUUGUUUUUUUAACCUUAAAAUAAUGAGUCAAAAGAACUGUAUUAUGUGUAAUUCUUUUUAAGUUUGACAUAUGACGAAUGAACAUAUCAUAUUAUUUUUCAUUUUUUUUCUUCUUUCUUCAUUUUAUCUAGAAAAUUACACAACUUUUAACCUUUUUUUUUUUUUUUUUAAAUAUACUAGUUAUACAUUGUCAUGAAAUCAUUUUAAUUUUAAUUUUUUUUCACUUUUUUAUCUUUUCAUAUUUAUUGUUUUUAAUUAUUUAUAGAUAGUUUAAAAUUAACAUAAUAAUUAAUAUAAAAAUAGAUACAUAAUGAACAAAUUUAGAGGUUUAGAAUAAAAGUUUUUAUAUAUUUAGGUUAAAUAAAAUAUUUAUUUAUUUGAUAAAUCUUAGCAUGUAUAUAUAUGGAUUUAAUAAAAAUAUUUUUGACAUAUUAUUUUAAUAUUUAUAUUUUUUAAUUUUUUAAUUUUCAUGUGAUAAUCACAAUCAAUUAUCAUGAUUUUUUACCUUUUAUUUAUGGUCCAAACUUGACUAUAGUUCUAACUUUUUUGCUUGGUUUAAAUGUUUAAAUUUUUAUUUAUGUAAAAUAAAAACUUAAUCAUGGUUCUAACCUUUUACUUGACCAAAAAUUUGAAAUUGUCAUUUAUAUAAAAUAAAAAAUAAAAAAUAAAAUAUAUUUUUCAUAAAAAUUAUAUUUAAUGUUUUAUAUUAAUUUUCUCUUUAUUUUAAUUUUUUUUUCAAAAAUUCACCUUUUCAUAUUUAUUGAUUUGAAUUAUUUAUAUAUAUAUGUUAAACAAAAAAUAAUAAUAUAUAAUAAAUAAUUAAUGAGAAAAAAUAAUAUAAAAAUAAAUACAUAAUGAACAAAUAUAGACAUUUAGAACAUAAGAUUUUUUAUAUUUUGAUUAAAUAAAAUAUUUAUUUAUUUUAUAAAUCUUAUUACAUUUUCAAAUUAUUUUAUUGUUUAUAUUUUUAAAAAUUUUUAAAUUUUCAUGUGAAAAUCAAAGUCAAUGAUUAUGUUUUUUUUUUUGCUUAUGAAUUUAACUUGAUUGUAAUUUUAACUUUUUUCUUGGUUAAAAUGCUUAAUAUUUUUAAUCAAAGAAAAUAAAAACUUUGUUGUGGUUUUAACAUUUUUAUUUGUUAAAAUUUAAAAUUUUUUAUUUAUACAAAAUAAAAAAUACAAAUUUCAUUAAAAAAAAUCAUAUUUAAUUAUUUAUAUUAAUUUUCUCUUAAUUUUAUUAAAAAUUAAUUUUUUUUACAUGUUAAACUUGCACACUUAAUCUACACAGUUCUUGGAAAAGAGGGUACCAUUUUUUAUGAAAAGAGUACCACUCUUUUAAGACAAAAAAGUACAAUUCUUCUAUGAAAAAAGUAUCACUCUUUUAUGAAAAAAAAGUACAAUUAAAAUGUGUUAAAUAUACCGUUAUAGUGGAAAUGAUAUAUCACUCUUAUUUGGUUUAUGAUAAGACACGUGAUCAGUCAUUACGGAUUCGAUAACUUAUGUAAUGAUAAAAUAAUAUGAAUUGACUAGAUGUUGUUAUGCAAUAACACCAAUUAACACAAUCUUUGGAAAAUAGGUACCAUUUUUUUAUAUAAAAAAAUAUCAUUAUUAAAAGUAUCAUUGUGUUAAAAGAAUAGUACUACUCUUUUAUUAAAAAGUUAAUAUUAAAAUGUGUUAAAAAUAACAUUAUGUUAAGAGAGUGGUAUAAUGAUACUUAGGUAAAGUGGUACUUUUAAGACACAAUAGUACUUUUAGAAUAGUAGUACUUUUAAUACACUUUAAUAGUAAUUUUCUAACAAAAUAUUGAUACCAAUAUUUUAGCAUAGUGGUACUUUUAAUAGUGAUAUAUUCCCUGGAUUAUCCUGGUAAGAGUAUUAACAACACAUUCACAAAAACUAAACAAUGGAAAACUAGUAACAAUACUGUCAUAAAGUUUAUUCACUCUCCAAAAGCAAAGAUAGACAAAGAUGUUAAUGGAACAAUAAUAAGUGUUUCACCCUUUAAGACUAAGAUAGAUGACAAAGGAAUUGCUAGUGCAAUAGAUGUUAGGAAAAUCAUGGAACAAAAUAACUAGUCGAGGUCUGACAUGUUUAGGGCAGGUUUUUGGGUGAUUACUCACUAAGGUUUGUAAAUCCGUAAAUAGGCUCUAGAUUAAGGAUUUAAAAUGAGUUCUAUUUUCAGAUCCAUGUCUAGGAAAUCCAUAGACCCCCAAGAAGUUGUAGUAAACAGUGAAGAGAUUAAUUAUCCUAAGACCCAAAAUGAAUUAAAUGAUUGGAAAUUACCUAAAGUAUCUAAUCAAGAAAUUUAUAAGAAAUGAACUGUUAGCCCAAGGGUUCUCCUAUUCGGGUUUUGAUGAUAACAAACCAUGGUUAAGUGACUAAUUGUUUUAAAUGGUAAAGAAUCUCAGAUAUAAUUUCGAAAAUUCAUCCAAGGACCAAAUGGAUACAAGACCGAGAUUAUUGGAAGUCCCUUGAUCAUAGGAAAUGAAUGUAAGAUGAAUGCAUGGGUGCACUUAAGGUUUUCAUGCCAUUUCAUGCAUCUUUGGAAAACUCGGUUUAUUCUUUAAACUUUCAAAUUCAUUCAAACCCGAGUUUUAUCAAAUGUACCUUAGGCAGGAUGUUUUAAAACUAGCAUAUUUAUUCACCUAAAGACCUUGCCUAAGUAGUAGAAAAGAAAGGAAUUUCAAAAGGAAGGUUUUUGGGGCCAAAAGGUUCAACCGGUCGAGGCUAUGGCCAACCGGCUCAACUAGUUAGGGAACCGGUCGACCGGUUGACCCUAUCCAAUCGAGGACCGGUCGAGGAGUGUCAAAAACACUCUCUCUCAUAUAGUAGCCUUCUCUUCCCGGUUGAGGUUCACACCCUUCCCGAUCGAGGUCCGGUCGAGGCAACGGUAACCUGUCAAAGCAUUUAAUGCCCAACGGCUAGUGAUCCGGUCGACCCCUAGCUCGAUCGGUCGAGGGUACCUUUUGCUGUUUUUGACUCCCGAGCUUAGAAACCUAUAAAUUAAGAGCUCCACUUCAUUUAUGAUUAAGAGAACACUUGCAAUCAAUUGUCUACCUACCUGUUCUUGAUCAAAAAGCUCUCAUUUCUUUCUUGGUGCAUUAAAUCAUCAUUUGCAUACUCCUUAGUGCACCUUUGUCAGUUAUUCUAGCCUUGUUUCGUAUUUGAUCCAUCCUUGAGCUAGGUUGAGUGUUUUAUUCUUGUAAAAGCCAAGCGUUUAAGCCUUCAAAAGGUGUAGUUCUUGAAGAGAUUGUGUAAGAGUCCACUGGAGCCGGAAUCCAAGUGUAAGAAGAUUAGAAGCUUGGUUGAAGCUUCAAGUUAGUGGAACCCUCACUCGGUUAGAAGAUUGAGGAGAGUGGACGUAGGCAAGGAACUGUCGAACCACUAUAAAACCCGAGUUUUAAUUCUCUAACUCUAUCUCUUUACUUUCAUUUAUAUUGUGCUUGAAAUUGUUGUAAUUGAAAAUAUUUUUGAAAAACCCAAUUCACCCCCCUCUUGGGUGUUUUUUCUUAAUUAAGCAUAGUCUUUAUUUUCUCAGGAACCUUUAAGUUUUUCUCUGAUUACACCAUUAAGACACUUGAGCAAACCAUGAGCUUAGAGCAAGAUGAUCAAGUGAUAAGACUCUUGGAUAAUAAGUCCAUAAAGAAACAUAAGAAAGACUACAACUUCAUACACUUUGGUAUGAUUCGGCUUUGAACUUGAAGACUUACAUCUUGAGAGAGAAAGAAGAGAGAAUGGAGAGCUUAAGGUGGAGGAUGAGAGAAUGGAAAUUGAAAGAUGCUCACAACUAAGCAUCAAGCCCCCUUAAAUAGGCAAAAUAAGAAUUUUAAACAAUUCAAGCAAUCAAUAGUUCACUGUUGAAUUUUUGACUUUAUGACUUUCUGGCAUGAAUAAUGACCACCCGUGAAGUGAAUAGUGAAUAGUAAAAAUAACAUUUCACUGUAGCACUUUUGACUUUUCCGACCAAAUCUUACUUUCGGUGGCUUACUAUGCUCCUUUUGACUGCUUUUAAUUGGAAUCUUAACUGUAACUUCAUGAUAAAGGACCAACAUGCUUUCGGUGCAAACUUGACUUAAAGUUGAUGGAGAAUCUUGGGCUGACAGCAACUUAUUACAAUCAUGACAUAAUUCCUAUCUUCAGUGAAGUUAUAACUUAAUUAUCUUGAUUUUCGAAUGAGAGAGAGAAUGCCAUCACAACUAUCUCUAUUAUUCAAGAGAUAGUAAAAGAAUCAUCUGAUUUAGUACCACCAUCAUCUUGAGAGAACCUUGAGUUGCUCAUAUUUCAGAUUUUUUUUUUUUUUUUUUUAAUUCUUAAGGAGUCUUGGCUACAACAAGCAUUGCUUGAAGUUGCUAUUUCUUAAGAAGAAACUGGGACAUGUAAUUAGACAUUAAAGCUUGUGAUGGAUGCUUAAGAAAAUAUUGUUGGAUAGUUUGCACAGAAGCAUCAUUCUUUAGGGCAUCCCACCACAUAGUCUUAAAAGUUCUUCUAAGAGAGAGAAGAGAUGAGGAUUCAUCUUCAAUUAUCAUAUGGUCCCAUUGGACUAUCCAUGUGAGAGCAAAUUCACUGAAAAAUAUUAGUAGUGGGGAGAAAGCUGAAAGGUCUUUGGGGGUUAUAGGAUUUCUUAAAUAAUUCAAAACCACCAAGGAUAGGUUUUGAGAGAAUCUUAAUAGUAGGACCAGAACAAAUCCACCAACUAUAGAACUAGAAAGGAAAGGAAAGUUGAUGCUUGGGUGAGAAAUAGAACAUCCAUGAAUGAUGAAAGUCUUUGUUUUGGAUAAGAAAAGCAUUAAACCAAGCUCUCUGGUAAUCCUAGUAGUUAUAAAAUAUUGGUCUUGAAGGUUUAGAUUCAAACCUUAGAAACAAUUUUUAGAAAUUUGCAUUUUGAUAAAACUUACACUACAUUUUUCAUUGAAUUCUUUUAAAUGGAUUGUUGAUCAAAGAGAUUGCACAAUGCACAUGAUUUUCCAAUGAGUUCAAACACUUUGGUUGUUCAUGUUUAAAAUUUAAGAACUAAUCAUGAGUCCAUGUCAUAUUACUUUUCUUUGCAUCUAUAUCUAGGUAUAAAUGAAGUUCUAAAGGACCAUCUUUACUUACAAAAAGAAUAUAGCGGAAGUAUUCUGGCUAUGCAUAAGCAUCAUCUCACUCAAUAUUUUAGUUGUGAGUAAUAUUUUAGCCCUCAGUUGGGAUCAUUCUUUGCCAUGACUUUUGUUAGAGAUUACUAUUUGAAUGUUGUGGUUUGCAUUGCAAGACCAUUUGGGUUCCAAAUUUAGCAAAUAUCACUUAUGAUUUAGUAAAAGCAAACUGGGUUCAAACCUUGAUGGGGGUGCUUCUUAAUGUUGGUUCACCUCCAAGGGAGAGCAAAGGUUUUCUUCUCAAUAUAUACAAGUGAAAUGGAAAUUGUAGAUAGUUAAGGAAUGCAAAUUGUUUGAUGAAAAUUGAGAUUUUCAAUUAAACCAACUUCGUAUCCCUUGGGAAGAGAACUAAAAAUAGGAAAAUAUCUUUUUCCCAAACUGCUGAAAAACUAGAUACCCACUUGGCAAAGGCUACAAUGAUCUCCAAUUUUGCCAUUAAUAGAAAAGAAUGAUUAUUCAUGUACAUCAGAUUAGUUUCAUUACUUAAAAGUUAAGUAGCACAAAAAGAGAAUAAUUGAUAGGAAUGUUCAUAGAAGAAGUAUUGUUUUCACUUUAUGAUAGAAGCCAAAACUACUCUAAAAGAGGGGUUUUGAAUUUUGGAAAAGAAAUCAAAACCAUUCUUCCCACACUGCUCAUGGAAAAAGACCUUAGCAACACCUCCAAUAUCUCCACUUAGGGGGUUUAGGGAAACAAAUUCAUUUUCUUUUGUGGGACAAAUGGAAUGUUUCUUCCAAUCACCAGGGAGGAGAAAUCAAAAUGGGGGCAAAUUCUAUUUCUCUUAUUCUAAUUCAACUCUUUAGAACACCAAAUUGGUCAACACAUUUGUCAUUUUUCCACUAGAUUUAUGCUUAAAAGUACAUAUGCAACAAGAACCACAAGAACAAUUUUCUACACUAUAGAAACAGAGCAUUUGUCAUAACAUCAUGCUUCAAAAUCUUAACAAGUAGAGCAAAACAUCAAAAUAAAAUAACCAAGAAAUCUAAUUAAAGACAUUUUUUUUUUCAAUUUAACUAGAUAUCUUCUUUGGUAGACCAAUAUGUUUUCAGAGUUCAAAAUCAAAGAGGAAUAGGCUAAAAAAUUUAAGAAAAACCCUUAUAUUUAUGCUUAAUAAAAAGUGAACAUAUAAACCCAUUACUUUCUUCCACGUUCUUUCCAAAACCAUGUAAAAAGAAAACACACGCCUCAAGCAAAUGUAUGAAAUCAACAAAGAAAAAAAUCUAAAAAAAACAAUCUAUUUCAAAGUAAUAAACGUACUUUUUAGGAUCCUUUUCUGUUCUCUUCCACUUCAUUUUGUUCCUUCCUUUCCCACAUUUUUUCAUAAAUUGGAGAAAAAAAUUCACAUUCCAAUCAAAUGAAUAACCUUUUAGAAUUCUUUUAAACAGAUGGUCAACAACAAUAUGGAAAUCUGCAAAAUAAAAAAUAAAAAAAAUUUAGAAGACCAAAGACCAAAGAGUGCAUUACAGUCUACCAUUCAAGAGAGAAUAACCCUUCAUUCUACUCUUUUUCUCUUCUUUCUGCACUUUUGAAUAUCAAAGAUUUCUCUUUAUUUUUUUUUUCAAGGGUAAUUUAGUCCAAAAGUGGUCAUUUUUCAAGUUUUAAAAAGGGAGAGGUCAUUUUUCCCGAUACCAACUUAUUUUGCCCCUUUUAACCAAAUAACCCCUUUUUUUUAUGCUUUUUGAGGGAUGGGUUACUUUUGCAAAUAUAGAUGUUAUUUUAACCCCUUUAACCAAAUAACCCAUGAAAAAAUGACAUGCCAUGUAUUAAAAACCAACUACAUGUUUACUAUGAACAACAAUGAUGCAAGAGAGGUAAAUCGUAUUAUUAUAAAUUCGAAACCCAAUGUCUUAGACACAGAAGAUAAGCCAGAAAUGGGAACUUCAAGCUCUUUUUUGCUUUCAUUGCUUUCAAUCCUCCUUUAAUUUGCUAUCCCUUUCAUUGGCAGCUUCAGAUUCGGUUCAUGAAUUAGCUUUUCUCCAAUGCCUUUCUGGCCAUUCUCAGCCUUCUCAUCCCAUCUCUGCAGUACUAUACACUCCUGAUAACUCUUCAUAUUCGUCUGUUUUAGAGUCUUACAUUAGAAACCUCCGAUUCAAUACACCUGCAACGCCUAAACUGUGCCUUAUCAUCACCGCCACCCAUGAGUCUCACAAACAAGCUGCCGUAAUUUGCUCUAAGAAGCAUGGCUUGGAGAUCAAAAUUCAAAGUGGUGACCAUGACUAUGAGGGUAUGUCUUAUGUAUCCGAUGCCCCAUUCGUCAUCCUUGAUAUGUUCAAUCUUCGAUCCAUUAGUGUGGAUAUAGAAGAUGAGAGUGCUUGGGUUCAGGCUGGAGCAACUAUUGGUGAAAUUUACUAUAGGAUUGCCGAGAAAAGCAAGACUCAUGUCUUUCCUUCUGGUACAUUUGUUACAGUUGGUGCUGGUGGCCACUUCAGUGGUGGCAGGUACGGUAAUAUAAUGAGAAAGUACGGGUUGUCUGUUGAUAACAUUCUGGAUGCACAAUUGGUUGAUAACAUUUUUUUUUUUUGAUAUAAAUUGGGGCUGGAUUUGAGAGCAUUAAGAGUUGUAAUCUCCUUUAACAAUAUUGGAAGUUCUUUGUCUUUGUCAAUGGAUGUAGGCUUAAGGCCGAACCAUGUGAAUCAUUGUGUUUUAUUUUUGUUUGUCUUAUUCUUUUCUUCCUAUUAUUAUUCUUUGUCUUGAUUUGCACGACCCUGAAUGAUAUAAUUCAUCCAAAAUAAGUUGUGAAUACAACAACAUAUGAAUUUUCUGAUACCACAGCUCCUUAACAUAACAAUGUGUUCUUAUUUUGUACCAGGAAAGAAAAAAUGAAGCAGGUAGAUCUGCAGUGAUGAAACACAGCUCUCCACUUAUUAUUUCUUAUCUAUACCAUGUAUUGAAGCAAUCAGAAAGGUAUUGCCGAGAGACACAAAUCUAGUAACCAUUUAAUAGGGAAGAGUUGGGAUGCUUUGUUCAUUUCUGAAGAAAUUACCAGGAUCAACCUUGGUCUUGAUCCGCACCAGCCUGUUGAAAUUCUUCUUGAAGUACUUGAUCCCAUAAACUCUUCCUUCCAAGUAGCUGUUCUUACCGUUGUGGUUGAUACCCAAGUCCAGAUCCCUAUAGUUGAGAAAUGCCUCUCUGGGGGACUUGGAAACAAAGGGAGUCAUGUAACUGUAGAGCUGUCGUGUCAAGUUUAUGUAUCGUUCGGCCGCCUCACUCCCUUCCUCAUCCCAGUUUGUGGCGUACUGGAUUUUGCAUAGGUUCCCUGCGCGGUGUGGAAAAGGAGUUGCAGACGGGGAAAUCUCAGCCAUCUUUCCACCGUAAGGGUUGAAGGCCAGAGCUGGCGUCUGUAGCUCGAUCAUUUUCUUCCAUAUCCCCUCCAAACCAGCCUUUGGAAUUGGUUCCUUCAGAUAGUCUGAUUUCCUCUUUAAGUGGGUGAGUACUUGAGGCUUUCGAUCAAGCAAAGCCUCAACAGGCGUUCCGGUGGCAAAGUUUGUCCAGAAGAGGACAGACUCUACCCAACUCAUCUCGGUGCAGUCUGAGCUCUGCAACCCCAACUCGGGUAAGCUCGUGUUCAUGAUGGAGAGAAGUCUUUCAGAACUUCCAAGGAACAAGGACCGGAAUGUAGCUCUUACUGUCUUCUCUCCACUCCGGCUUCUAUUCACCACAUCCAUGGUUAGUCUGAUGAAUAGAUCGCCAUCAACCUUAUCUGCAACUUGCUGCCACUGAUACACAAUGUUUGUUGCAUUCUGUUCCAAGGUCCUUGCAACUCGGAAAACAGUUACUGUAUCUGGAACUUGGACAAGCUUGAUUUUAUAAGAAACAAUGACGCCAUAGCUAGCUCCACCUCCUCCUCUAAUGGCCCAAAACAAGUCUUCCCCCAUUGAUUUUCGGUUGAGAAGUCGGCCAUUAACAUCAACCAACUCUGCAUCCACAAUGUUAUCAACAGACAGCCCGUACUUUCUCAUCAUAUUACCAUAACCGCCACCACUGAAGUGGCCACCAGCACCAACUCUAGGACAUACACCAGCAGAAAAGCCAUGAAUCUUGCUUUUCUCGGCAAUCCUAUAGUAAAUUUCACCAAGAGUUGCUCCAGCCUGAACCCAAGCACUCUCAUCUUCUAUAUCCACACUAAUGGAUCGAAGAUUGAACAUAUCAAGGAUGAAGAAUGGGACAUCGGAUACAUAAGACACGCCCUCGUAGUCAUGGCCACCGCUUCGAAUUUUCAUCUGCAAGCCAUGCUUCUUAGAGCAAAUAAGGGCAGCUUUUAUGUGCGACUCAUGGGUGGCGGUGAUGAUAAGGCGCGGUUUAGGGGUUGUAGAUGUAUUGAAUCGGAGGUUUCUAAUGUAUGACUCUAAAACAGACGAAUAUGAAGAGUUAUCAGGAGUGUAUAGUACUGCAGAGAUGGGAUGAGAAGACUGAGAAUGGGUAGAAAGGCAUUGAAGAAAAGCUCCAUGAACAGAAUCCGAAGCUGCCCAUGAAAG